rnacentral:lncRNA from 1 species
UAUAAUAGUACGAUCAACUUGUUAAUGGUAUUUGAUAUACACAAUUUAACUUGCAAGCAUGUAAAAUUACAAACAGAUUUCAAUAAAAACAGGGGGUUUUAUUUUAUUUUAAUUUUAUCAUGUUUUAGAGAUAACAUGAAGGAAAAAGACCCAAAGCUAUAUAUUUUUUUUCAUCAGUCAUAAGCAUCCCCCAUACUUAGGCUGAAAGUUGAUCCAUCAGCACUCAAACGGAACCGCUGAAGCCUUUAUCGUAAGCAUAUUCAAUAAGGGAAUCCAACUCAUCAUUGGUGCAGUCGAUCAAAUUGUCCUUAUUUUUAUCAGCAACUUCCAGGGCCUCUUCAACUUGCUUGUUUGACGUGAGUGCACCUAGAUGUUCAAAAGCAUCCUUGAGCUGGUCCCUGGUGAGGCUGCCCUGCUUAGAGUAAGAACGGAACACUUGUUCCAAUUUGUUUUUCUGAUCCUUGUUAUCCUUUGUGGCUUGCAUUGUGGAUUUUGAGGUUUAUGACAGGGUGAUAUUAGAGAGAGGGCUCGCCUUGCUUGGUUUGGUUUUCUUUUCCAUUGCAAUUUGUUUAUAUAGACCCAAAACUCGAAUAGUAUUCUAUUGAAGUGUAGGGGAAUAAAAUCUUUUUUUGUGGUGGGUUUUUAAAUUUGAUUUCGAUUGAAAGCAAACAAUAUAAUUGUAUGAUAUUUUCUUCAUUUGAAUUUUUUUUAAAUAUCCAUUCUAUCAAUAAAAUUAGUAAAUCAAUCAAUAAAUUUUUAUAAUGAAUACAAAUAAACAAAUAUUCCAAGAGGAUUGGUACGAAUAAGAAUAUUAAUGUUGGCUUGAACUUAACCACAGAUUGGAAAAAAGCUAAAUAGCAGCCUCCACUAUCUUGUGUCCAUUUUCUAUUGUUUAUUUGUUUUAGCCCUCAAUUUGCAGUUUUUAGUUGCUUUUUUUUUUUUGGUUGCCUGAUUAAAUGAUGCAUUUAGAUAAAUUUAUUAUCCAAGCUUUAUGAUGAGUACCUAUAGACUUUUUGUAGUAAUAUGAUGAUGAUAAUAGUUUUAAAAAAACUAAAAACCUUUUGCUUUUAUCUGUUCACAAAAAAACUGAAAGUAAUCAUGUUAAUAGAAAAAUGCNNNNNNNNNNNNNNNNNNNNNNNNNNNNNNNNNNNNNNNNNNNNNNNNNNNNNNNNNNNNNNNNNNNNNNNNNNNNNNNNNNNNNNNNNNNNNNNNNNNNNNNNNNNNNNNNNNNNNNNNNNNNNNNNNNNNNNNNNNNNNNNNNNNNNNNNNNNNNNNNNNNNNNNNNNNNNNNNNNNNNNNNNNNNNNNNNNNNNNNNNNNNNNNNNNNNNNNNNNNNNNNNNNNNNNNNNNNNNNNNNNNNNNNNNNNNNNNNNNNNNNNNNNNNNNNNNNNNNNNNNNNNNNNNNNNNNNNNNNNNNNNNNNNNNNNNNNNNNNNNNNNNNNNNNNNNNNNNNNNNNNNNNNNNNNNNNNNNNNNNNNNNNNNNNNNNNNNNNNNNNNNNNNNNNNNNNNNNNNNNNNNNNNNNNNNNNNNNNNNNNNNNNNNNNNNNNNNNNNNNNNNNNNNNNNNNNNNNNNNNNNNNNNNNNNNNNNNNNNNNNNNNNNNNNNNNNNNNNNNNNNNNNNNNNNNNNNNNNNNNNNNNNNNNNNNNNNNNNNNNNNNNNNNNNNNNNNNNNNNNNNNNNNNNNNNNNNNNNNNNNNNNNNNNNNNNNNNNNNNNNNNNNNNNNNNNNNNNNNNNNNNNNNNNNNNNNNNNNNNNNNNNNNNNNNNNNNNNNNNNNNNNNNNNNNNNNNNNNNNNNNNNNNNNNNNNNNNNNNNNNNNNNNNNNNNNNNNNNNNNNNNNNNNNNNNNNNNNNNNNNNNNNNNNNNNNNNNNNNNNNNNNNNNNNNNNNNNNNNNNNNNNNNNNNNNNNNNNNNNNNNNNNNNNNNNNNNNNNNNNNNNNNNNNNNNNNNNNNNNNNNNNNNNNNNNNNNNNNNNNNNNNNNNNNNNNNNNNNNNNNNNNNNNNNNNNNNNNNNNNNNNNNNNNNNNNNNNNNNNNNNNNNNNNNNNNNNNNNNNNNNNNNNNNNNNNNNNNNNNNNNNNNNNNNNNNNNNNNNNNNNNNNNNNNNNNNNNNNNNNACUUUUCCUCAAAAAUUUUUUUUUGAAACUUAUUCUUAAGGAAAAUUGAUACUUUUCAACUUUUUCCUAAAAAUAUUUUUUUUGGAAAUUUGAUUUUUAUUUGAAGAAAAUAGAAUAAUAAAAAUAUAAAUAAAUAAUAAAAAAUAAAGAAAAGUAAAACAAAAAUAAAAAUAAACUAAGAUAAAAAGAAUAUUAAAUAAACCUAAUAUAAUAAAUAAAAAAAAUAAACAAAUAAAUAAACAAAUAAAGAAAUUCAAGAAAAAAAAAAAAAAAAACCUUGGAGCGGCUUGGAUCACGGCUCGGCUCAAGGCAGGGAAACGGCUCGGGGAGAACGGCUUGGAAGCUCGGCUCGGCUCGGCUUGGAGGAGUGCAUGGAACGCGCGGGUCAAAAUCGGGUCGACGUUCGGGUCGGGUCGGGUUUCGACAAAACGCGCGGAUCCUCCGAUUAACUUAAAGCCAAACGACGUCGUUUUUGGGAGGGUAUAAAAGGCAAUUCCCCUUCGUUUUUUCGGCAGAACGCUCCUUCCCUCUCUCUCUCUUCUUCCCUUUUCCUCUCCCUUCUCUCUAAAAGCUGAAGAACACCGGUGCCGGAUUCUGGAAAAUGUCGCCGGAAUCUGGAAAUUUUGCCGGAAGUUGGUCGGAAUGUCACCGGUUUCUGGGAAUCUUCGUCGGAAACUGGGCAGGUUGCCGAAAAAAUUCAACGUUCGCCGGAAUUUUAGCCGAAAAAUUCAAAUUUCGCCGGAAUUUUCGUCGGAAUCUGGAAAUUUCCCAGAAAUUUCCAGAAAAAUUUUUCGCCAAAAAUUUUUAAAAAUUUUUUCUCACACCCAGAACACUCCUAAACUUUUCCUAGCUUCCUAUACGCCCCCUUUUCUUUCAAAUCAGUAGUUUUGCUUACUGUUUUCUGUUUUUUUCCAGUGUACCAAUCUGUUCCAGAGGGGGUCCCUUUUAUAGGGAUUGAUCAGGAGUUUCUGAUCAAUCCCAAUUCCUCCUUGGACGGGGAUUCAAUCUUUGAAUCCAAUUGGACUCUUUUGAUUGAAUCCCCACUCCUAGUAGGAUUCUUCAGCUUCAAUCUCAACCUUCCAAAAUAAAAAUCAAAUAAAUAUAAAAAAUAAUAGAUAAUUAGAACAGAUAAAUCGAAAAGAAAAACAGAUAUAUUAUAGGAUAAAUAAAUAAAUAAAAAAUAACAGAUAUAUAAUUAGAUAAAUAAAAAUACAAAAAUAAAUAAAAUAUAAAAAUAAUAAUAAAAAUGAUAAUAAUAAUAAUAAAUAUAUAACUAUAUAAAUAAUAUACAUAUAAAUCUAUUCUAAAUAAAAAAUAAAUAAAUACAGAUAUACAUAUAUUAAUAAUAAUAAAUAUAAAAAUACAUAAAAUACAAAAAAAAGAAGAAAAAAAAUACAGGAUUGAAUUGGGCCUUACCCAUUUGGGCCAAGCCCAAUUGAUCUGGGCCUGGACUCAAUUGGGUGUCUACAAUAGUCAUAAGCCAAAGAUUUAAACAAAGUUGGCAAACAUGAUUUAAAAAGUAGUUAUCUAGAUAAAAUAAUAAGCAAUAUAUCAAACAACUAUUAAUAUUAAAAAAAAAACUAAAUUAAUGUAGUAUUUAUCAUAACAUAGGAAAUAACAUUAAUAGUUGUUUUGUGUAUAGUCCCCUUACCCUUGUUUUGCGUGUAAAACAAUAGCAAAAGGUAGUAGUAGUAGUUUCGUUUCAAUUAAAUAGGAUAAUACUAGCUAGUUUCUUUCUAUCAAGCUUAUUUCUAUUUCUCAUUUCGUUUCUAUCAGGUCACUGAAUUUUCCCAUUAAUCGCCAAUAUAGCAGAACAACAAGCUAAAGGUAGCAAGAACAUAAAUCUACUUGGAAUUAAAGAAUGCACAUGACCUUGAUAUCUAAGCACAAAUAUUUUAUGCCACUGUAAUUUAUUUUAAAACCUAGAGGGAUACUAGAAAGAUCUCAUGGAUAGUAUAUCUAUAUACAUAAAAUUCAAGAAAAAAGGCAUAUGUUAAAAAGAAAAUAAAUGCUACAAUCCUAUAUUAAGGCUCUUGAUAUAAGGAUAUUAAGUUGACCAAACAAGGAAAUUUUGCUCUCCAUCAUGUAUUGAUUAGAACAUCCAUUUGAAACUCAAAACACUCAAGUCAUCAGUCUAGAAGAAUUAAGUAAAUAAAUCAGAUUGCCUAUCUUUAGGUUUUUGAUGAGUGAUCAAAGGAAAGGCAGAAAUUUAAAAACAGUGUAUUAACGUAGAAGAGUCUCAGAUAAAAGCUCUAAACUAGGCAUGUAUUACAAAAUUAAAUUAAUCACUAGCUGUUAUAUGGUCAUAUUAUGUAGAUGCCAUUAUUCACCCUAUAAUGGCUGUGAUAAAGAGAUGAAUAUUGAUACUAGUCUAGAAACUAGUGGAGCAAAAACAAUAGAACUAAUAGAAGGCUUGAGUUAUAACAUUAAGAAGCAAGAAAAACAAAAACGGGACUACUAUCUUUAAUAGGAACUAAAUAAGUCCUAAACUUUAAAUAUGCUAGUUUAAUUGCUAAACUUUAAUAGCUAGUUUAAAUAUAUUGAAAAUGCAAACGGUAGAGUGAUGUAAUCCACAAUUAUCUUUCAAGUGACUUCUAAGGAUGUUUGGUUUACCUAGGAGAAGAAAGGUAACCCUGCAUGUAUUCUUGUUGUGAAAGAAAUUAACUUGUAUUGUAUAAAAACGAACAAGCAAAAAAAGAAUGGGUGACUUUUAAGUUGCUUAAGUAGGUGAAAGAAGCCAAUAACUAUGGAUUUAUUUUCAAAUAAAAAAUUCGAAACAAAAUAUCAUAAAAUUGGAAAUGAGGCUUUUCAUUCAGAUUCUAUUUGGAAAGAGAGUGAUGAAAGGAAAAUGAUCAGACGGGCCUUUUGAUUAACAAUGAUCAAUGACGAAAUUUAAACAACAGUAAAUAGUUAUCAGUUCCACAAUUUCUCCCAAAAUGCACAUACACAAUGGAAUAGUUUUUAAAAUUUUUAAGCAAUAGAGAAAAUCCUCCACCUGAAAAAUGGAUACAUAUCAUAUCCAUAAAAAAGACAACAUCAAUUGUCCACCUAACAUAGGUUAACAGUCAUAAGCAAUUCGAAGUUUUAGCUUUUAGCUAUCAUUACUAGUGCAACUACAAAUCCUUGUUAAAUAGCUGGGCAUCCUGAUGUCAUCUUCAGUGGGCAAGCUAAGCAGCUUAAAUGCAAAUAAAAAUGAGAGAUCUUGAAAUCAAAAGAAAAUAAUUCUAAAUGAAGAUAAAGAUAUAGAAUACCUGUUGUAGUUUUUGUUGGAGAAGGCUGUACUACAACAUGCAUUAUGAUAACCCCACCUGUAACAUCACCAAAAGGUUCUUUACACUAACCAACAGUCUUGCUAUUCUCCAAAAUUUUACCAGAGCUUAUCAGUUUGACUUCAUUCACUUCCUUUGGAAUAAUUGUCUUACCUAAGUGAGGGCAAAAACAACAAUUAAGAAAAUUAAAACAAAAUGCUUCAAACUAUUAGCCUUUUUGCUUGCUUCUAUGAUACAAAAAAUUUGAAGAUUGCUGAUAGAACUAAGGCAACAAGACAACAAAAGUUGAUGCAUUUUUUGAGGAUAUUUGACAAUAUUCAAAAUAUAAUUUAUUCUUUUUGCAACCCAUUUAAUCUAUGGAACAUUCCCACAACAAUCUAAGUAUUCAAAACAAAUAACAUGUAAUUAUAGCUUAUAUAGCUAAAUUUAGCCUUCCAUACAAAUAUACAUUCAUGACUUUAUCCUCCUCGAACAACUCGACACAAACAACUUUUCUUCCUAAUUGAACAGAAAUUCACCCAUAAAUCUUUAAAACUUCAUAAGCAAUUAGAAAAGAAAUGAAACAGGUAACAAAUAGGAUUGGCUGAUGAUAAACCUUUAGGCCAAUCAGAGACAAUUCUUUUCUUAAGCAUAUCCACCGUGGAUGUAGCCACGUACCAAAACGGCCCAAUAUCCAACCCAUCAUAAAGCCGAACUUUAUCCUCCUCCUACAUUUUCACUCACUUCUUCUCUUCCUUACCUUAAGGUUUGAGACAUCAAAUCAAUUCCCAUCGCCUAAAGUUCCACAAAUUAAAACCAAACUGAAAAACUCAACUAAAAUUAAAAAUUUUAAAUACGAAAAAAAAAAAAGAUUAAAAUUCAAACCAAAAAUUUUAGGCAGUAGCUGAUUAAUUUAAAGCCCCUUCUUGAAUUUUUUUUUUAAUUUUAUUUUAUGGGUUUUUUUGAAAGAUUGGUGUUUGGCGAAAUGAAAAAAAACAAAAUUGGUGUUUUGAUUCUAGUCGACCAAUGAUCCAGUUUAGGAAUUGCUUCUACUUGAUUUGGAACACUAGACAGUGGCUUCAGACGAUUAACGAAUUUGGCAAAAAACCAAAAGUGAGUUGGAAGAGAUCAGAUGGUUUUGGCAUAGGUUUUGGAGGGAGUAUAAAAACCUAAUAAAAAAUAUAUCAUUAUAAACAAUGUAGUUUAGGAAACUUCAAUUAAAAUUAUUUUCUUUAUGGAUAUUAAUAACUAUUAAAAAUUUUUUUUACUUAAAAGUUACUAGUAUGGUCAAGUGUAAAUUUUUUUUCUAUUUAAUUCAUUUUUUACUUAAAAAAAAUUUUUAACAAAAAUUUUGACUUAGAAAAUUUUAAAAUUUUAAAAUUUUAAACAAAAUGUGUAUUUUAAAAUUUUUAAUAUAUGCAAUAUUUAAUCAAUUUUCUUUAAUUAGAAAAUUUUCAUAUAUGAAUAUACAUACUUAGCUUAACUCAAAUAAUAAUAGUAAUUUUUCUCUUUUCUUUUUCAAUAGUUUCUAACAAUAAAUUAUAUUAAAAUAAAUAAUAUUUAAAGGUCAUAUAUGAAAAAUGUAAUUUUUUAACUAAAAAUAUCUAAUUUGUUAAAAAUUAUUAAAAUUUUAAUUUUAAUUAUAAAAAAUCAAAAUCUUAAAAUUUUAUAUUAAGAAUUUGAAUAUUGAUAAAAUUUAAAGAAUAAACUGGUAAGACAAUGCAAAUACACCAAAUCAGUUACUAAUAGUAGUACUCCAUUAAUUAUUAAAUAAUAAAUAGGAUUGUAAGUUUUUAAAUUGUUAGAUCAUAGUUGAAUUUUACUUUAGCCUCUUGGGAAAAUUUUACUUGCAAUCAGUAUCAUCCCGACACUUUUAAGAACUUGGUCAUGAGAUGAUAAAGUACUGAAAUGGCAUUGGGCCCUUUUAGGCUUUUAAGGAGCAAACAAUUAUAGGUUUGUAUCAAUUAGUAUCAUUUUUCUUUGGGUGUAGUUUAAGGAAACUUCAAUUAAAUUUUUUUUUGUAUGGAUAUUAACAAUUAUUUAAAAUUCAUUUUUUGCUUAACAGUUACUAAUAUGAUCAAAUGUAUCUAAAUUUUUUCCAUUUAAGAUUAUUUUUUACUUACAAAAAUUUCUUUUAACAAAAAUUUUUAAAUAAAAAUUUUAAAAUUCUUAAAAUUUAUUUUAAAAUUCUAAACAAAUUAUGAAUUUUAAAAUUUUUAUUAUAUGAAUAUUUAAUUCAUUUUCUUUAAUUAGAAAAUUUUCAUAUAUGAUACAUACUUAAAUAAAUUGUGCUCAAUAAAAUUAAAAAUUAUUUUUUUAAAUAUAUAUAAACUAAGUAAAAUCAUCACUUAUAAAUUAUACAUCAAUUUGAACUUAUUAGUGACAGAUAAAAAACAUCAUAACAUUAUUUAAAAGUUUGUGACAUUUAUAUUAUCGUCAUAUAACACCAUAUAUUGACGUCACAAAAUUGCAAUGUCAUUAAUAGUUAAUUAAAGUGUUCAAUUUGUGACAAAAAUUAAUAACAUCAUCUAAAAUCUAUAAAAAAAAUUUGCCACAAAUAAAAUUUUAAAUUGGUGACAAAAUUAUAACAUCACCUAAAAUAAAAAACGCCACAAAAAAUUUUUCCACCAAAUAAAUUUGGUGGUAAAAGUUUAUGAGAUUUAUGUUAUCGUCAUAUAACAACAUUAUUGACAUAACGAAAUUGCAAUGUCACUAGUAGUUAACUCAAGUGUUCAAUUUGUGACAAAAAUUAACAACGUCACCUAAAAUCUUUUCGAAAAAUUAGUCACAGAUAAAAAUUUAAAUUGGUGACAAAAUUAUAACGUCACCUAAAAUAAAAUAAAAAAACAUCACAAAAAAAUUUCUUAGCAAAUAAAUUUGGAGGUAAUAUUUGGUGACAUUUGUGUUAUCGUCACAUAACACCAUAUAUUAACAUGACAAAAUGGUAAAAUCAUUAAUAGUUAACUAAAGUGUUUAAUUUGUAACAAAAAUUAAUAACUUCACCUAAAAUCUAUCAGAAAAAUUCUUCAUAGAUAAAAUUUUAAAUUGGUGACAAAAUUAUAACGUCACUAAAAUUAAAAACAUCACAAAAAAAUUUCCCACAAAGUUUGUGACAUUUAUGUUAUUGUCAUAUAACACCAUACAUUGAUGUGACAAAAUUGCAAUGUCAUUAAUAGUUAAUUAAAAUGUUCAAUUUGAGACAAAAAUUAAUAAUGUCACCUACAAUCUAUCCAAAAAAUUUUAAAUUGUUGACAAAAUUAUAAUGUCAACUAAAAUAAAAAAAAAAGUUACAAAAUAUUUCUCACUAAAAAAAUUUGACGGAAAAAUUUUGGUGACGUUAUCAUGUGAUGAUUUUAUAUAUCAUCAUAUAAAAUAUCAAAACAAUAUAAAAGUGUGAUGCAAUAUAUUAUUCAUCACCUUUUACAUACUUUACAUGAUGAAAUAUAAUGUGUCACUUAGAAAAAUUGUUACAAAUUGCUAAUUUUCUUGUAUUGUAUGCAAUGACAUGAUGAAUGAAUGGUGAUGAUGAUCUAUGAAUGAUUGAGAUGCAUGAAAUGAAUGAAAAUAGACAAACAAAGAAAUAAAUAAAUGCAAACUUAUUAAUGUUAACAUAAUUCAUGCAAAAGACAGUAACAAAUGAGAACAAAGUUAGCAAUCAAUAUAAAGAAAGUAAAAAACAAAACAAGUUAAUGCAUAACUUAAAAAAUAUAUAACCUAAUUUGGAGUAUUUCUACAAAAAAAAAAAGAAGGACAUGGAUCUACCUAUGGGUAUUACAACUAAUUAUAUGAGGUUUAGGAUUGAUUCUAUAGGUUCCCAAAUUGUUCUUUACAUCAUUAUCCAUCAUAGACUGGUAGGACAACCUAAUCCUCACCCAUUAUAGGCUACAAGCAGAAAUUGUUCAAUUCGAGUGAGUGUUUUAUUAGCCCAUGUAAAGAUAUGAAAUCUCACGAAAGCAUAGGAACUUUACUUUCUCCUAAGGGAUAGAACUCGGGUGUAAAAUUCAUGUUAUACAUAUGCAAGUGAAUGGUAAAUAGGAUAAAUAAGUAAAUAAAUAAAAUAUAGACAAGAAGAAAAUAAUAAAAUAAAAUAAUUUUAAAUUUAUUAAGUUAGGCUUAGAUAACAAGAAAUCAUCUACUAGCCUGACUUUCAUAUUCUCUAGUGGAGUCGUCAAACUGUCAUAACAUAUAAAUCCAUAGACCUAUUGCUAGACAUAGACUUUAGGAGUUGCACCAAUCUUUUUUGUUUAGGUGUGCAUGGGCACCUGAUUGAAUCUGUCCUAUUUGAAGAGGAGUCCCAAGAUAGACUUAGGUAUCUUUAAAUAGUAAAUUCUAAAAUCCAUAAAACUAGAUUUUAGGUUCGGGAGUGCAAUUUCGCAUAAGGAAGGUUAUAACACCCUCACAGUGCCCAUCCAAAGGAUGGUGCCAGUUUGAUUUCAAAUAAUGCAAACCUUGAAAUAUUUUUAUAAUUUUACCUAGUAGUUUAAUUAUUAAAAAUUGAUCCUAAAAUUACUCCAAUAGUUUGGUAGUACUUUAAGAUAAUGUUUUCACCUCAAAAGUAUUCAUUGAGACUAAUGUCCCACUUUGAAAAGGCUUCGUCAUUGGAUUUAUUAAUAUAUUUUAUUUAAAAAAUAAUAAGUAAAAUCCUCCCAAUAGUUUGGUAAGAUUUUACUUUGAUGCAGAUCUCCCAAUAGUUUAAUGAGAUUUUAUUUGAAAAUCAUUUAUAAACUUUUACUUUGAGAAAAUUCAUUAAAUCUUCCAAUAGUUUGGUAAGAUUUAAUUCAAGAUUUUGAUCCUUCAACAGUUUGUUAGGAAUAAAAAUGUAUUAUUUUAUUUUGUUUAAAAAAUUUUUUAAGCCCUCCAAUAGUUUAGUAAGACUUAAUUCAAGAUUUAAAUCAUCUAAUUAUUUGGUAGGAUUGAAAAUUUAUUAUUAAAAAAAUUAUAUUAUGAAAUUCUCUAAUAGUUUGGUAAAAUUCAUAAAUUAAAAUUUAUAAACCCAUGAAAUUAAAAAUUCAUAAUUUAAAACUCACAAUCUUUAAAUUUUAUUUUAAACAUACAAAAAAAAGUAAAAUAAAUGAAUAAAUAUAUAAAUUAACAAAAUGUGAAAAUUACCUUAAUGGAUGGAGAAACGCCUUAGUGGGAGUAUUCCUUCAUUUGUAGUGACAGAUAAUCACCAAUUCGAACCAAAGAGCUCUGCCAUCAAUUUUAAUCAAAGAGCUUGGGUAUAGAUUGCUACUCAUCUAUUUCCUGGUGGGUUUCCCUUUUUUUUUCCCUCCUCUUUUUUUUUUGUAUGGUUGAUUUGUGUUUAUGUAGGGCCUUAUGUUAGUAAUUUUAGGGAUUUGCAUUGAACAAAAAGGAUUGCAAAUUUGAUUAUGCUCUAAAUUGAUUUUUUUUCAUGAUUCUUUUUAAUUAAUUAAUUUCUAGAAUUGUCAUGAUUUUCUUGAUUUUUAAAAUCCCUCAAAAUUUUUCAAAUUAAAUCUGACUUUGAUUCCCUAAUUUACUUUCUUUUCAACCUUCUUUUAAUAUUUGAAAAUAUCACGUUUUAGUUUUAAUUAUCGAUAUCAUCCUUAUUAGUACUCAAAUUACUCCAUAAAUUUCAUUGACAUGAUUUAUGAUAAAAAUUUAAAACUAGAUAAAUAAAAGGUUAAAACAUAAAAAAAGUUAAAUAAAUAAAUAAGACAAACAAGAUAUAAAAAGAAAUGUAGGAAAUUGGACAAUUGGGCUUGGUUUGAUGCCCAAACUAAAUAAGGUGUCUACAAAUAUAUAUUUUUAUACUUUUUUUUAUAUUUUUUAAAUUAGAUAAUUUUGUAAAAAAUGAUAUUAAUGGAAGUGUCUACAUGGCAUCCACAUUUAUUUUCUUUCAACCUUUCAUUUUUUAUAAAUUUUUAUUUUUAAAAAGUUAAUAAGAAAAAUUUUACAAGAAUAGUUCAUCAUUGCUAUUUUCGUGUGACAACUCAGCUUUUUUUUCCUUUUUUUCGUUUUGAUUUUUUUUAGUUUUUUUCUCCCUUUAUUUUUUUUAUUAUAUCAAUUGUUUAACUGAAAGAAAAGCCAACGAAUGUGCCCAUGCAUGUCGCAUCUUAUUUCCUUUUUUACCUUUCGUCUUUUUUUAAAUUAGAUAAAUAUUAAGAUAAAUACAAAUCAGUAAAUAAAAAUUUUAAGAUAAAAGUCAAUCGAGGUAUUCACAAUAAAUUUUCUUAAUUAGAUAAUUUUUUAAGAAAAUAAUGUCAAUGAAGGUGUUCACAUAGCAUCCUCACUUUUUUUUAUAAUUUUAUAAUUUAAUUAGAUAAAUUUUAUAAUAAAAUGAGACAGUUGAUAAAAAUAGCAAAACAAUCAGUAUCAAAUAAGUUUCCAUACAUCUCAAUUUGAUAUGGGUGUUUUUGUAAAAAAUCAAUAUCAAAUCGAAUCAUGUUGGUUUUUUAGGUAAGUAAGCGGAGGUAAGAUGUGGAUUUAAUGUGCUUUGUCCUAAAUCAUCUUAUGGUACAAGUAAAGAUAUAUAUAUUUUUUUAUUAAUUUGAUUUUAUAUUUAUAUACAUGUAUUAUAUUAAUAAAAUUAUUAUUUGAUACUUUAAUUUAAUAAAUUAAUAUUUUAAACUUAAUAGGGGUAUCCAUGUGGUAACCUUAUUAAGCUCUUUUUUUUUUGUUUUUGUUUUUCUCUUUUAUUUUGGUAUUUUUUCUUUUCAUUCUUUUAUUAGAUUAAAUUUAGCAAGAAAAAAAGGCCAAUUGAAAUAUCCACAUGACACAUCCAUUUAGUUUUUUUAUCGUUUACUUUUUUUAAUUAGAUAAAGUUUUUUAAAAAUAUAUAAAAAUUAUUUUUAAUGUAAUUUUAUUUAAAUUUAUAUCAAAAUAAUAAUAAAAAUCUAUGAAUUAUUUUAAUUAAUAAAAUAGUUAAACUUAUACUUCGAGCUCAUUUCAAGUAUUCAAGAAAAAGGUAGAGAAAAUUAUUUAAGACCCUUCUCUUAAUUUGAAUCUUAAUUAGAACAUGCUAGUAGUUUAUUUAUAGAGAUCAUUGGAAAUUAAUUACUUACUCAACUACUAGGGUUUGAAAUAAGUGUGAAAAAAUGGAUAGGACUUAAUUUUUCAAUCCUGACAUUUUGAAUUCAGAGUUGUUGGAUUUCUUUGGGGCUAGAUUGAGCCCAAUGGCUUGUUAAUUAAGUUCCUAAUCAGGCCUAAAAUCUUUUUAACCACAAUUUAUGGUUCUUAAAACUUAUGAAAGUAUGCCUAUACAUUUGUAUUAUAAAAAUUAUCACAUUCACUUGUAGUAAGGGAGUUUUAAAUUUUAUUAUCAAGAUUGUAGCAGUAGUGAGAGCAGUUGAUAUAAUAUUAAAUUUUUAAUUUUAACAAUCAAAGUUCAAAUUAUGAUAAUAUGAAUUCUUUAUAUCAUCUUACAUUAUACAUGCACAUGUAAUAAUACAUAUAAAGCAAGUAAUAUAAAAGCUAAAAACUAUCUUAUAAAAUGUGGAAAUUAUAGUGGGCAAUUGGGAGUUAUAUAAUAGGAAGCCUUAAAAAAAUAGAAUUAUUACCAAAUUACAAUAGCAUUGUCUCACUAUAAUAAUUUUGUAAGAAACCUUUAUGAAGUAAGAAAGGGUCUGAAUUUAUACUUGAAAAAUGAAUUAAUUAAUAGUAGGAUAGAAAAUAAUUUAAAUGUUACAAUUAGUAAUUUCAUAACCAAAUAAAUGAUUUUUUUAUAAAUUAAUGUAAACUGUGUUUUCUAAACCAAUGCAACGCAUAAAUGACAUCAUAAAUUAAUCCUUCCAUAUAUGCCUCGCAAACAUUUUAAUAAAACUACCAAAAAAUUUUAACCAUUUCCAAAAUAAAUCCAGAUUAUAUAUAUAUAUAUAUAUAUAUAAUAUUGCUAAACAUGCUAUUUCAACUUUUGAUAAUUGAAGUUACCUUCAUGAAAUGAAAUAUCAACUUGAAAUCCUACAACUAAUUAACUCACUUUGAUAUAUUAAUUCUCAUUAGUGGUGUAAUUUUCUUUUACUUGCUGAAACUAGCAUCAUUACAUACUUCAAUUUUUUUGUCAAACAUUUUUAAUUUUAUCAAAACCAUUUUCUUCUAUACUUAUAUAUAUGCGUGUAAACACGUGUGUGUUGUAAAAAUAAAAAGAAUUAAGCAUUUAAAUUAAUUCAUAUAUACAUAUAUGUAUAUACACUAUCUGCUUUUCUCCCAAAUACGUUUACUUUCAAGUUUCCUCGAACCUUUUGUCAUAUUUUUAGGUAAUAAAAAUACUAGUGUAUAAUUUAUAAUAGUGUGAUCAACACGUUCAUGGUAUUUGAUACACAAAAUAUAACUUGCAAACAUGCAAAAUUACACACAGAUUUGCAUAAAAACAGGGGUUUUAUUUUAUUUUAAUUUUAUCAUGUUUGGAGAAAACAUGAAAGAAAAAGACCCAAAGCUAUAUAUUUAUUUUUCAUCGGUCAUAAGCACCCCCAUACUUAGGCUGAAAGUUGAUCCAUCCGCACUUAAACGGAACCGCUGAAACCUUUAUUGUAAGCAUAUUCAACAAGGGAAUCCAACUCAUCAUUGGUGCAGUCGAUCAAAUUGUCCUUAUUUUUAUCAGCAACAUCCAUGGCCUCUUCAACUUGCUUGUUUGGCGUGAGUACACCUAGAUGUUCGAAAGCAUCCUUAAGCUGGUCCCUGGUGAGGCUGCCCUGCUUAGAGUAAGAUCGAAACACUUGUUCCAAUUUGUUUUUCUGAUCCUUGUUAUCCUUUGUGGCUUGCAUUGUGGAUUUUGAGGCUAUGACAGGGUGAUAUUAGAGAGAAGGCUUGCCUAGCUUAGUUUGGUUUUCUUUUCCAUUGCAAUUUGUUUAUAUAGACCCAAACCUCUGAAUACGAUUCUGUUGAAGUGUAGGGGAAUAAAACAUUUGUUAGUGGUGGGUUUUAAAAUUUGAUUUCCAUCCUCUUUAUCAAUAAAAUUAAUAAAUCAAUCAAUAAAUUUUUAUAAUGAAUACUUCAAAAAAAAUAUUCCAAGAAGAUUGGUACGAAUAAAAAUAUUAAUGUUAAUUUCUUCUUUUCUUCUGGCUUCAAAUUAACCACAGAUUGGAAAAUGCUAAAUAGCAGCCUCCACUAUCUUGUGUCGUAGUGAUGAUACUAGCCUCCACUAUCUUGUGUCGUAGUGAUGAUACAAGCCUCCACUAUCUUUUGUCCAUUUUCCGUUGUUUCAUUUGUUUUAGCCCUCAAUUUGCAGUUUUUAGUUUUUUUUUUUUUUUUUUUUUUUGUGGUUGCCUGAUUAAAUGAUGCAUUUUGUCCAUUUGGUUUUAAUGAAUUUUCAGAAUUUGGUAGAUCUCGUGAAAGGAGUUCUAGGAAGUACUUUGAUGAGCAUGCUUGUAAAUUGUGAUAAUUAUUGUGUGUGAAUGUCAAGUUAUUAAAAAAUAAAUAAGUUUAGUAUUAGGACUUUCUUUCUUUUAUUUUUUGCUAUAAAUGAUUCUGGAGCAAGCAAUUCAACUGCUGUUAAACUAAUUUUUUGCAUUGCACCACUUCCAGGAAUCGUGCCUUAGUGGGUUAAAACUGUAUACAUGUUUCUCUCUCAUAUGUUCUUAUAUGUUAUUAAUCUGGGUAGGAUAGAACUAAGUUUGGGCUGUUUCAAUUCCUUUGCACCUUUUUUCCCUUGUACUGUAAUUCUUUUGCAAGGGGAAAGAUGUAGUAUAUAUUUUUUAUAUUUUUUCUUUUUUUUUUAAAUUAGAUAAUUUUGUAAAAAAAUUAUAUUGAUGGAAGUGCUUACAUGACAUCCAGAUUUAAUUUUUUUCAUCCUUCAUUUUUUAUAAAUCUUUAUUUUUAAAAAAUUCAUAAUAAAAAUUUUACAAGAAUAGCUCGCCAUUAGUAAUAUUGCGUGAUAAUUUACUUUGUUUCCUUUUUUUGUUUUGAUUUUCGUUUUGAUUUUUUUUAUUUUAGUUUUUUCCCUUUAUUUUUUAUUAAAUCAAUUAUUUAAAUAAAAAAAACCCAACGUAUGUGCCCAUGUGGCAUCUUAUUUUAUUUUUUUUCUUUCAUCUUUUCUUUAAUUAGUUAAAUAUUACAAUAAAAAAAACAGUAUAUAAAUUUUUUAAGAUAAAAAUCAAUCGACGUAUAGACAACAAAAUAAUUUGUAUAUGAUAUGUUUCGAUUCAUAUAGAUUCAAUUGGUGUGCUUUUUUUUAAUUUAGGAUUGGAAGCCUUAAAACAUAUAAAUUAUUACCAAAUUACAAUAGCAUCAUCACACAAAAAUAAUUUUGUAAGAAACUUUUAUGAAGUAAGAAACGGAAAACUUAUAAUUGAAAAAAGAAUUAAUUAAUAGUAGGAUAGAAAAAUAAUUUAAAAGAUUACAAUUAGUAAUUUUAUAAUCAAAUAAAUAAUUUUUUUAAAUUAAUGUAAAACUAUGUUUUCUAAACCAAAGCAAUGCAUAAAUGAUACCACAAAUUAAUCCUUCAUAUAUGCCUCGCAAAUAUUUUAAUAAAAUUAAAAAAAAAAAUUUACCUAUUUCCAUAAAUAAUAUCUUGAUGUAUAUAAUUUUGCUAAAAUGGUAUUUAAACUUUUGAUAACUAAAGUUACCUUCAUAAAUGAAAUCUCACUUGAAAUCCUGUAACAAUUAAUUUAUUUUGAUAUUUUAAUUUUCGUCAGAAUGUAACUUUUUUUUGCCUGCUGAAAUUCGCAUCAAUAUGUACUUGAAUUUUUUUGUCAAACAGCUUCAAUUUUAUUAAAAUCAUUUUUGUCUAUACUUAUAUAUAUAUAUAUAUAUAAGCACGUGUAAAAUCAUAUAUAUAAGUGUAUGUAAAAAUAAAAAAAAUUAAGCAUUUAAAUUAUAUAUAUAUAUAUAUAUAUAUAUAUCUGCUUUCCACCCGAUUAUGUUGACUUUCAAGUUCCCUCAAGCCUCUUAUCAUCUUUUUAAGUAAUAAAAAAUUAGUGUAUAAUUUAUAAUAGUACGAUCAACUUGUUAAUGGUAUUUGAUAUACACAAUUUAACUUGCAAGCAUGUAAAAUUACAAACAGAUUUCAAUAAAAACAGGGGGUUUUAUUUUAUUUUAAUUUUAUCAUGUUUUAGAGAUAACAUGAAGGAAAAAGACCCAAAGCUAUAUAUUUAUUUUUCAUCAGUCAUAAGCAUCCCCCAUACUUAGGCUGAAAGUUGAUCCAUCAGCACUCAAACGGAACCGCUGAAGCCUUUAUCGUAAGCAUAUUCAAUAAGGGAAUCCAACUCAUCAUUGGUGCAGUCGAUCAAAUUGUCCUUAUUUUUAUCAGCAACUUCCAGGGCCUCUUCAACUUGCUUGUUUGACGUGAGUGCACCUAGAUGUUCAAAAGCAUCCUUGAGCUGGUCCCUGGUGAGGCUGCCCUGCUUAGAGUAAGAACGGAACACUUGUUCCAAUUUGUUUUUCUGAUCCUUGUUAUCCUUUGUGGCUUGCAUUGUGGAUUUUGAGGUUUAUGACAGGGUGAUAUUAGAGAGAGGGCUCGCCUUGCUUGGUUUGGUUUUCUUUUCCAUUGCAAUUUGUUUAUAUAGACCCAAAACUCGAAUAGUAUUCUAUUGAAGUGUAGGGGAAUAAAAUCUUUUUUUGUGGUGGGUUUUUAAAUUUGAUUUCGAUUGAAAGCAAACAAUAUAAUUGUAUGAUAUUUUCUUCAUUUGAAUUUUUUUUAAAUAUCCAUUCUAUCAAUAAAAUUAGUAAAUCAAUCAAUAAAUUUUUAUAAUGAAUACAAAUAAACAAAUAUUCCAAGAGGAUUGGUACGAAUAAGAAUAUUAAUGUUGGCUUGAACUUAACCACAGAUUGGAAAAAAGCUAAAUAGCAGCCUCCACUAUCUUGUGUCCAUUUUCUAUUGUUUAUUUGUUUUAGCCCUCAAUUUGCAGUUUUUAGUUGCUUUUUUUUUUUUUGGUUGCCUGAUUAAAUGAUGCAUUUAGAUAAAUUUAUUAUCCAAGCUUUAUGAUGAGUACCUAUAGACUUUUUGUAGUAAUAUGAUGAUGAUAAUAGUUUUAAAAAAACUAAAAACCUUUUGCUUUUAUCUGUUCACAAAAAAACUGAAAGUAAUCAUGUUAAUAGAAAAAUGCUCAGACACUGAAGUUGAAAAAAAGAAAAGUGUUUGAGAAGAUGAAUAUGGGAUAAAAUUGUAGCAACUGGCAAGUGCUACAUUAACUUUUCUGGGAUAAGAGUUUUAGUUUACGAAAUGUAGUUUUGGCCGAAUAUAUGUCUUACAUGAAAAGUCUGGUGGCUGAAAACGUAAAUUUGAUCUAUGAUGUCACUAUUCCAGCAUCCAGGGUGGAGAGUUCUUCUUGAUAAUCAAUAUUAAGUUUGGGCAGUGAACAUAUCAGAGGCCAGUUUUUGGGAUAGGGAUAAAACUGGUUUUUGUGUGUAUUGUUUCAUUUGCACGACAUUUAAGCUGUCUGUUCAUCUAGUAUUAUAAAACUUGUUCAUUUGACUGGAGGUGGAGUGGGAUUUGCAGGUCUGUGGGGAGGAUAAUGGAAGUUCAUGAACGUUGUGGUGAGGACAAGAAUGCUUUAUGGAGCACAAACUUUGUGCAAACGACAAUUUCUUUCUGCUGUUGCUUUUAUUUUAUGCUUAAAAUCAUAAACUUUUUUUUCAUGCUUUUACUACAAAAUUUACAUCAAUUUAACAAACCUGAGAAUCCGAUAAUAUAAUAAUGGCCACUGCAGGGGAACUUUGCUUUUCUAUUACAAGUUCUUUCAGAAAGUACUUAAUGCUUUGUGUUUUCCUUACAACUGACCACAAUCUUUUACUUCCCAAAAUCAUGUCUCUGAUUAAGUAAAACCUGCUCAAAAACUAUUGUUACACUUGCAACACAAAGACUUCAUAUAUAUAAAAGAAAAACUCCACAAAAUUCAUAUUUCACAUUUGAAUUUAAUGUUUUCCCUUAUGUGAAGGCUUCAUACAAUGAGGAUUUAAUACUAGAAAUUAAGUUGGUGACGCAAUGAAGACAACACAAAAGGCUUUUGUCAUAUCUUAUGCGUGUCUUCAGGGUGUUUCUGGACUGGAGUACUGAAUUGUUGAAUCGAAACGUUACAUAGGCUAAAAUAAAAUAGCUAGCUUUUGCAUUUUGUUGCACCUAGAUGUGAAUCAUUUUUUCCAUGAGAUGAGAUUUUCUUUACAUCUUUUGUAUAUUGUUUUGAUGCAAACAGAUGAAUUUGCUUUGUCUCGUGAAAAAAUUUAUAUACCCUUUUGAUCCUAAUUUUGAAUUAAUUUUUCCCUUUCUCUUCUAGCUGCCAAUGGUCAUAUAAUACCAAAAACCUGCAUCCUAAGUCUCAGAUUGUCCUCAACCUUACCUGGCUUGCAUCAGUGAAUCUGAUCACACUGCAUGAUUUCAUGUAUGCAUAUAUGGAUAUCUUGGACCAUUUAUAUAUAAUUCCAAAUGAUUUUACAUUUCAUAUACUUCACCCCUACAUUUAAUUACUACUUAGGACAGCAUAGAAAUGUUGAUUAAACAGUUCUUUUAAUUGUAUGAUUCAAAUGAUGAAAACUUUGAAGUAAUUACAUUUAACGAUGGUUAUUCAAAUGGGGGUGUUCAUGUGACACCUUUAUUGAGAUUCUAUUCAUUUUGUUUUUUUUUUUUUCACUUUUUUCCAAUUUUUUAUUUUUUGUUUUAUUUUUUUAUUAAAUAAAUUUAGUGAAAAAAAAAUUCAUUGAGAUAUUCAUGUGUCACCUCUAUUUAGUUUUCUUAUCUUUUACUUUUUUUAAUUAGAUAAGUUUUAUAAAAGUAAUAUAAAAAUUAUUUUUAAUUUAGUUUUAUUAAAAUUUAUAUGAAAAUAAUAGAAAAAUGAAAACUAUCAAUUAUUUUAAUUAAUAAAAUAGUUAAACCUACGCAUAAGCUCAUUUCUAGUAUUAAAGAAAUUAAUAAAGAAAAUUAUUUAAAUCCCAUCUCUUAAUUUAAACCUUAAUUAGAACAAUGUAAUAGUUGAUUUGUAGAAAUCAUUAGUUUGUUAUCUGUUCGAUGUAAGGAUUAUUUUUAAUUAUUUAAAUGUGUGUAAACACAUAAAUUAUUAUUAUUUAGUCACUUAUAUAUUUAAAAUAUAUGUAAAUUAUCAAAUUAUCAUAAAAUUAAAAUUUUUUAUUAAAAAAUUAAAAAAUAAUUUAAAAAUAUGAAAAAUAAUAUUUAAGAAAAAUAAACUAUCCAAAAGAUAUUAUAAAUAAUAAUAUUGUGUACACCAAAAAAUACUAAAACAAAAACUAAAAGUUUCAUCACUUAAAUUAAUUUUUUUUUAUUUGUAUCAUCUCCAUCUUGUGCAAUCAUUUUUAAACACCUACAAACUUAUAUAAUUUUAAGAUAAAUUUUAUUUAUUGAAGAGAAACAAUAAUUUUAAAUAUUUAAAUAAUGUACUAAAAGCUUACUUUAUUCCGCAGCCUACAAUAAUAACAUCCUCAUGAUGACACUCAUGAUGACACGCAAACAACUCUUCAUGAUAACACUUAAGAUAAUUAUUAAUUUUAUGUUAUUUAUCAAAUAAAUAUAUUUAAAAGAUUAUUAGUUAUCCAAAUGUUCCUAAAUUUAAAUGAAAGACAAAAUAAUAUAUAUCCACUUAUUUAUGCCUGAAAUUGAGAAAACACAUUUAAUUUAAUUUAACAAAUUAAAAUAAAUUUAAUUCAAUUAAACUAAUUAACAUAAAUACAUUUAAUUUGAUGGUUAACUAAACAAAUUUAAUUCAGUUAAAUUAAUUAAAAUAAAUUAAGAAAAUGCAUAUUUUUUAAAUUCAUAUUGCAUGUUUGAUUAAUGAAUUUUUUUAAAAUUUAAGCAAAAGAAAUGGAUUAAUUCCUUUUUAUUCCUCUCAUGAUGUGUAUACGAUACAUAUAUGAUAAAAUUAAUAAAAUAAAUAUAUAUCAUUGACAUCUAAAAUAUCUAAACUAUUAUGUGAUUAGUCAAGGUAAUUAUGGAUACCUACUUGCUUCAAUCAAUUCACAGCUUGUCUCAUAUAUGUGCUCUUGUUUCUAUUUUUUCUCAUCAAAACACUAAGAAAAAUGUAAUGAACUAUAAAUGGGCACACGCUAAUUUCUGGCCGGUCAAUAACAACAUUAAUAUUAGAUACAUGAUAAAAUUAUUCUAGAGAUCACCAUAAAAAUCAAAACCCUUAAGAGAUGAUAACUUGUGAAAUUAUUGCAUAAUGUAUUUACAUAUCUAUUUUUAUGAUUAAAAAGAUAAGAAAGAUCUAUGUAAUAAUUUUAUUUUUUAAAAAAUCUAAGUUUAAAAUAGGUCAAAAUAAAUUAAAGAACUUUGAAUUUUUUAACUGAAUCCAAUUUAAAAUUAAUUAACAAUAAAAGAAAAUUCUUUAUUAUAUUUAUGUGUUUAGAAUAUCCUAUUUAAUUGAUGUAAAAUUUAUAUUAUUGUUGCUUUAAUAUUUCUUGCUGCGCAUCUUAAAUAAAAAAUAUUAAAUAAAUAAUAAGUUGAAAGACAAAAAAAUUACCUGAUUGAAUGAAGAGUCCGCAUAAAGAUAAAAGGCUUGCGGACAACCUACUCCAGCCACCAAGCUGAGCCAUGGUGUUUUGGUUCAGGGAUAGCUCAAUCGUCCAAGAACCUUUCUUAAACAACCCACCAUCAAUAUAACAUUAAAGCCUUAGCCAGACAAAUGGAACAGGAAAAUGCAAAUCGUCUAGAAAAAAUAGAAAAGGCUCAAGAAAAACUUAAAAGGGAGUUAAGUAAAAUUUUAGAAGCCUUAAACAAGUUGAACAAAGGGGAGGCUAUAGAAGAAAAUGCCAAUCCACAAGACCAUCCAUCACAAGAUGUUGUUGAUCCUCUUUAUCAUCUUGGUUAUGGCCCAUAUUAGGUCCAGUCUAGCCAAGGCAUUCCUCUUCAGCAAUUUUCAUGCUCAGUAAGAUAUAUCUAUCCAAUAGUGCCUUUCGUAUCAACUUAGAGACAUUUUAGAGUUAUGUCAAUCUUGUCUUUACGAAAAAAGGAGAAGAAUCAAUACAACUUCCCAACUUAGAUGAUCCAAAAGAGAAAGAAAAGCUAAGGCCAAAUGUGGUUGAGACUUUAGAUGGCUCAAAAGCUAAACAAAAAAAAAACUUGUUGGAGGAAAGAUUACGAGUAAUUGAGGGGAUGGAUUUUUAUGGUUUAAUGGAUACAAUUGACCUUUUCUUAGUUUCGAUUAUAGUGAUCACAUUGAAAUUCAAGGUCUCAAAAUUUAAGAAGUAUAAUGGUACAAAGUGUUCAGUUACUUAUGUUACCAUGUACUAUCAGAAAAUAGCUACUUACACAAGCAAUAAGAACCUAUUGAUGCAUGUGUUCCAAAAUAGUUUAUUACUUCUGCAGCUAGAUGGUAAGUCCAAUUGGAUAGAACUCACAUUACUUAAUAGAAGAAAUUAAUAAAGGCAUUCAUAAUCCAGUACCAGCACAUGAUAGACUUGGCUCUAAUCCGCCUUUCUUUAUAGAGCAUAGAGAAAAAGGUCACAAAAUCUCUUAAAGAAUAUACCUAGAGGUGGAGAAAUACAUCUACUCAAGUUCAACCACCUUUUACUAAGAAGAAAACCAUGGUCUUAUUUGUCAGCACCUUAAAAGCUAUAUAUUACAAAAAUAUGAUAAAAAAUGUCACCAAGAACUUUGCUAACAUGGUAAUCUCGGGUGAAAUUAUUGACAAUGCCAUAAAAAAUGGUAAGCUAAGAGGAGAAUCAGCCAGUAUGAAGAAAAGUGAAAUGCCAAGAAAGAAAGAGAAUGAAGUUCAAGUUGUGAGCUAUGAUAAUCAACACCUCAGAGGUUUUACCUAAUACCUACUAUUGAUGUGUCCAAUCCAUUAUCCAUCUAUGAAUAAUGUAGUGCCUUACCCCUAUUAACUUGUCCUGCUAGCUAUUUAUCCAUAUACUUUCUCGUCAACUUAUAACUACAACCCCACCAUUACACCUAUUAUAAAGUUUGCCAUAAAAUCUCAUAAUCAGAAUAGUAAUUAGAGGGGAUAAUGAAAAAAUAGAAAGAAGGCUUUUUUUGAUCCCAUUCCUAUGGCAUACACAAACUUGUUACCAUAACUAGUGGAAAAUCAUUUAUUGAUCCCUACUCAUAUUGAACUAAUGAAACCUCCCUACCUAGAAUGGUAUAAUACUAAUGCUCAAUAUGACUAUCAUUAUGGGAUCAUAGGUCAUUCAAUAAAAAAAUUUUGUUGCCUUGAAGCAUAAAGUACGAGAUCUCAUCAAUGAGGGGUUGAUAUAGUUUGAUGAUAAAAAAGUCCGAGGGAUAAUGAAAUCUCUUUGCCCAAUGAUACAAGGGUAUGAUUUUAAAAAGAUAUUCUGAGACUUUUAGAAGUAAUGAACUAUAGGGCAGUCUUUUAUGUUUAUCUUGUAUUUAUCUCACAUUUUAAUAAAAUGAUAAGUGUAUUUCAUUACAUAUUCUUCUUUUUCCUUUUUCUUUUUUCUUUUUUAUCCUUACUAGUAUGAAUAUCCAUUCAUAUUUCACUCAUUCUUACAUUUUAAGUAAUGAAUGUUCAGACAAUUGUGAUAAUAAUUUAGGGUUCAAUCUUGAAAAUUUCAUUCAUACUGAUGAGAUUGAUGAUUUGGAUUCUUAAUCUAUUGGGGUGAAUUAAAGUUGACAUACUAAAGGCAAGAGUAAAGCCAUUUUAAGAGAAUAUGGUCCCUUAUAUCCAAAAGCUUACUUUCAUUUAGUAUAAGCUCUUCAAAGAAAGUAUUCACAUUUGUGACAAUAAAUGGCCAUCUUUCUUUUACCUUUCAUAAGAAAAUGAAAUCAUCCAUUUUGCUACCCCUUUUGAGCUUAUUAUGAUUUCUUUGAAAGAAACCCACCAAAGAUCACCCUCUAUGUAGGGGGCAAAGUUUGAGAAAAGAUCUAUUCACAAAAAAAAAAGUGAGUCAAAAAUGAUUGUUGGGGUAAAAAAAAGAAAAAAAUCUCAUGUGCAUGAAUCCUUCUUGAAAAAAAAAGUUGAAAGAAAAAAGUGAGAUGAAAGGAAAAAUGAAAAAAAGAGAAAAUAUGAAGGCAUUUGAUAAAGAAUGGGGCAAAAUUGCAAUGUGCUUUAAGUAAUGAGAGAUGAUCCUUUGAUUUAUACCCUUUCAAACACAUAUUUUUAAGCCUAUGUUUUUUUUUUAUAUAUAGCCCUUCACCAAGCCUAUGUUACAUGCUUUAAAAGUCCAUUUUAAUUAAAUAUGAUUGCUAAAAAUGAAAAAUUAUAUAUUAAAAUAAGGCAUGCUUAUGGACAAUGAGAUUUUGUAUUUUGGGGAUUCAUAUGAAAUUCGAUGGAAUGCCAAUAAGGAAUGAAGCAAAAAAAUGAAAAAAAAAAUAAAAAAUAAGAAAUGAAAAAAAUGAUAAAUGAAAAUGAGGAAAAAGGAAAACUUAAAUUGAAAACCCAAAAGCACGGUUUAAGUAAAAAAGAAAAAAAAAAAAGAUAUAUAUUGACUGAAGGAAAAAUUAAACAGCCUAAGAUUAUUCAAGAGUCUAAUGGGUUAGGGAGCAAGAUUUGGAUUUUAUGCCCAAAAAGAUCAAUGGUGUCAAUAAAAUGAGUUUUUAAGAAAGAAUUCUAUAUUAGUGUCAAAAAUUAUCUGAAUAUUCAUUAUUUUGGAUGUUUAUAUCCCAUUCAAACACUUAUUCGAACAACAUGCUUUGACAUUAACUAUCUAUCUAUAACCCUUUACUAAAGUUGUUCUUGCAUUGAGUAUCAAUUUUCUUUAAACUAUUUUGUUUCUCAUCAUUAUUGCUUUAUCAUAAUAAGAAAAUAUGCAACGAAUUGCAUUUUUCAUGAAAUUGGAAUGAUGAUAAAUAAAUGGGAAAAUACAUAAAUGAUCCCUACAUUACAUCAAAAAGAAAAUUGAUAGUGACAAGGGUAGAAUGAAGAUAUUGUAAUGAAAUAAAUUUGUGAAAAUGUUGAUUCACAGAACUUUCAAAAGAAGAAAUAGGUAUUUUGAGAAAAUUCAAGAUAUUUUGAUUCAUAGAGUGGUUGAUAAAAGUUAUGAAGGUAACCAAUCUUAAAUAUUCCUGAGAAUUUUUUUUUACCACAAUUAUGGGUGCAAUCAUUACAUCACAUGCAUUGCAUUCAUGACAUUCAUUGCAAAUAAGAAGUUUAAAUUAGUGAAAAGUUAAGAGAAUUUUGAACCAGUAAGUCUUCGAUUGAGGAAAAUUUUCUAAAGAUAAUCUUUGAUUGAGAAAAAGAUAAGACUUAGUUUAGAAGUUUCGAGAAAUAUUCUUAUCUUAAGAAGUGAAUAAGAUUUGUAAAUGCCUCAAGCAUAAUCUCAAAAGCCCUCUAAAUAUGAUUUAUAAGACCUCCAAGUAUAAUCUUUAAAACUUAUGGUUGUUAUUUUCAAGAAUGUUUCAUUUUCAUUUUCAACAUAGGCUUAGACCUAGUCAUUUUCAACUCUUGUUUAGUUCAAUCACCUUUAUAUUUUCAACCUUGAUUUAGUCCAAUCACUAUCAUUUUCAACCCUAGUUUAGUCCAACCACAUUCAUUUUUCAAUCUUGGAUCAGUUUCGUCACUUCCAUUUUCAACCUUGGUUCAAUUUGAUCACUGUCAUUUUUUACCUUGGUUCAGUCCGAUCAUUUUCAUUUUUGACAUUGGCUCAAUCCGAUUAUUUUCAUUUUUUGACCUUGGCUCAGUCUGGUUACUUUCAUUUUUUACCUUGGUUCAAUCUAGUUACUUUUAUUUUUAAUCUUAAUUCAGUCCGAUCACUUCCAUUUUUUACCUCGUCCGGUCAUUGUCAUUUUUUGCCUUGGUUUAGUUCAAUCAUUUUCAUUUUUUAUCUUGGCUCAGUUCGAUCAUUUUCAUUUUCGACAUUGGCUCAAUCCAAUCACUUUCAUUUUUUACUUCGAUUUAGUUAAGUCAUCUCCAUCUUGAACUUUGGCUCAAUCCAAUCGUCUUCACAUUUUACUUUAGUUCAAUACAAAUUAUAUCAUUUUUUUUUACUUUGGCUAAGAAUAAAGUGAUUUUAUUUUUUUGACUUUGACUAAGACCAAGUCAUUGUUUUUCAACUUCAGCUAAAACCAUGUCAUCUCAUUUUCUAAUUAUAGCUAACUCCAAGUCAUCAUUUUUCAACUUUGGACUUAGUUCAAGUCAUUGUUGUUUGAGUUUUGACUCUGUCCAAGUCAUUUCAUCUUGGAUUGAACCCAAACAUAAUGGAUAUCUAUGUCUUUACACAAUUCAUGUUACACAAAACAUGUGCAAAUAAGAGCAACUGUAGACACUUAAUUUAGUCCAGGGUCUAAAUCAACUGGGCUUAAUUUAAUUUCAAUGCCAAAGGCACAAAUCAAUUAGGCUCAAAUUUGAUCCAAGCUAAUUGUCAAAUUUUUAUUUUUACUUUCUUUCUUUAUUUUUUUAUUUAUUCUUUUUAUUUUAUUUUAUUACUUAUUUUAUCUUACUUAGCUGUUAUUUAUCUUUAGUUGUUUUUAUUUAAUUUCCUUAUAUUUAUCUAAUUUUUUUAAAUUUAUCUUGUUAUUUAAAAAAAAAAAAGAUAAUUGAAAAAAAUAAUAAAUGGCCAUAAACUAAAUAGGAGUGGCUGGUGAUAAUGUAGUUUUACAUGAUUAAAUUUGAAGUUAAACUUUAUAAAGAUAAAUUUUUUUUCCAUCAUAAUCCUAAUUUUUAGAGUUUGAAUCAAUCUGAAAUUCUCUUUAUUUUGCCUUAUAAAUACACCUUUAAACCAUAAAACAAAAGGCACAACAAUCAAAGAGCAAUUGAAAAGAAAAUUAAAGGAAAAAGUGAUAGCAAGAGUUUAGCCGCUAUUGGGCAUUUUGAUUUUGAUGAAAAUUUUGUUUUACAAGUAGUUUUAAGUUUAAUUCAAGAAGAUAUUGAGUCAAACAAAUUCAAAAUACUGUAGUUUGUAAUAAAGGAAUUUUCUACAAAAUUUUUAGAAAUUUCUAGAAAUCGAUUUAAUUUUCUAGCCAAGUUCAUAUUUUUCAUUGAAAUUCUAGUAUAAUUACCAAAUUCCAGUGACCAAUCCUAGAAUCCAGCAACCCACGCCUAAGCCCAGCCGAGCCACUUCCCAAGCCUUUCCAACCAGUUUCAUGCCUGCAGCUAAGCUUUGUUCCAGCCACCAAGCCAACCCAUGGUGUUUUGGUAUUAUUUUUCUUUUUUUCCUUUUUAUUUAUUUGUUUUUAUGAGUUUUGUUUAUUUAAUUAUUAUUAUUUAUUUAUUUGUGAUAUAUUUCAUUUGAUUUUUUUAGGAAAAUUGUUAGAGAAGUUAGUUUUAAAUUAUAAUAAAUAUAAAAUAAUAUUUUAAUAAUAUUUUGAGAAUAAAUAAUAAUAUCUAAUGAUAAAAUUUUAGAAAUUACAAAUAAUUAAUUUCUAAAAAAUUUUUAGGUGAGAAAUUUUUUUCUAAAUUUGACCCAAAUUGAGAAAAAUUUUGGAUAAAGUUUCAAUAGCAAUAAUUAACAUUUAUUUUCAAAUUAAAUAAAAAAAUCUAACUAAAUUUAAUAAAAUUCUUAAAAAUGAAUUAACAAUUAUUCCAAUGAUAAGAUUCCUAGAACUUUUAAAUUUUUUAAAAAUUUUCUAGGUGAAAAAUAUUUCUAAAUUUAAUUCAAAUGGUGAAAUAAUUUCGAUGAAAUUUCAAUAAAAGUAAUUGUAUUCAUUUCUAAAUUAAAAAUUAAAAAAUAUGACUUUAAAAGUUUUUUGUGUGAAAAUAUAUUAUGAUUUUUCAAAGAUGAAAUCUUAAUAAAAAUCACAAAUGGUUGAAUUUUCAUAAGAUUUUUAGGUAAAAAGUUUUUUUCUAAAUUCAACCCAAAUGGUGGAAGGAUUUAAAUGAGACUUUAAAAAAUAAUUGUCAUGUUAUUUUUCUUUUUUUAAGGAUAAAUGAUGAAUAAAUGAAGACUAGAUUUUAGGAAAGAUAUUUCUAAAUUUGGCCAAAACGAUGGAAAAGUUAGAAAUGAAACUUGUAAGAUAUUUCUAAAUUAGGUCUAAAUGAAGGGAAUUUUAGAAAUAAAACUUGUAAAAUAAAAAAAUAAAUUACAAAGAUGAAAUUCUUAGUAAUUGUAAAUGGAUGAUUAUCUAAAAGAUUUUUAGGUGAGGAAAUAUUUUUAAUUUUGGCUCAAAUGGUGAAAGAAUUACAUAUAUAUUCAACAAACAAAAAUUUAACAAAAAAGAUAAAUGAUUAAGUUUUUUCGAUGACAAAGCCUCUUUAAGAAAAUAAAUGAUUGUUAGGAUAAUUUAAACCUAAAUGAUACCAUCUUAAGAUGAGCGUUGUGGGGGUACUAUAACCUUCCCUAUAUGAAACCGAACUCCUAAACUAUAUUUUAAAAUGCAGAUUAGAUUUAAAGACCUUUAGUCAAGUUUAAGACUUACUUAAAAGGAUAGAUUCAUUAGGUGGCCAAGCACACUUUAACAAAAUAUUGGUGGCAACUUCUUAAAUCUAUGUCUAGCUAUAGAUUUAAGAAAAUAUACAUUAUGAUAGUUUGACGACUCCAAUGGGGAUAGAUCCGUAUAGAUCUGUAGACUUAUAGCUAGACACAAACUUAAAGAAUCGCCACCAAUCUUUUAUUAAGGUUUAAUUGACCACUUAAUGAAUUUAUCCUUUUAAGAAAGUCCUAAACUUGAUUAAAAGUCUCUUAAAAAGUAGGUUUUGAUCUAUGUUUCAAAACAAAGUUCGGGAGUUCGAUUACGUAUAGGAAAUGUUAUAGCACCCCCACAACGCCUAUCCUAAAAUGGUACCAUUCAGUUUUAAAUUAUCCUAACAAUCAUCUUGGUUCUAAUAGUCAUUUAUUUUAAUAUUUAAAUAUUGAAAAUAACUUCUAAGAUUUCUCUAUCAAUUUGGUAUAAUUCUUAAAAAUACUCUCACCUCAAGAGUAUUUAAAAAUCCUAUUUGUUUUCUUGAAUAGGCUCCAUCAUCAAAAAAACUUAAUCAUUUAUCUUUUUUGUUAAAUUUUUGUUUGUUGAAAAUAUAUCUAAUUCUUCCAUCAUUUGGAUCAAAAUUAGAAAUAUUUUCUCACCUAGAAAUCUCUUAAAUAAUCAUCCAUUUGCGAUUACUAAGAAUUUUAUCUUCGAAAUUUAUUUUUUACUUUACAAGUUUUAUUUCUAAAUUUUCCAUCAUUUGGGCUAAAUUUAGAAAUAUCUUACAAGUUUCAUUUCUAACUUUUCCACCAUUUAUGCUAAAUUUGGAAAUAUCUUUUCUAAAGUUUAGUCUCCAUUUAUUCAUCAUUUAUCCUUUAAAAAUGAAAAAUAACAUGACAAUUAUUUUUUGAAGUCUCAUCUAAUCCUUUCACCAUUUUGGUUGAAUUUAAAAAACACUUUUUACCUAGAAAUCUUAUGGAAAUUCAACCAUUUGUGAUUUUUCUUAAGAUUUCAUCUUUGGAUAAUCAUCAUAUAUUUUCACACCAAAAUUUUUUACAGUCAUAUUUUUAAUUUUUAAUUUAGAAAGGAAUACAAUUACUUUUAUUAAAAUUUUAUCUAAAUUAUUCUACCAUUUGGGUUAAAUUUAAAAAAAUUUUGCACCGAGAGAUUUCUUAAAAAUUUAAAAUAUCUAAGAAUCUCAUCAUUGUAAUAAUUGUUAAUUCAUUUCCAAGAAUUUUAUUAAAUUUUUUUAUAUUUUUUAUUUAAAUUUGAAAAUAAAUGUUAAUUAUUGUUAUUGAAACUUUAUCCAAAAUUUUCCUCCAUCUGGGUCAAAUUUAGAAAAAGAAUUCUUACCUUAAAAUUUUCUAGAAAUUAAUUAUUUGUAAUUUUUAAAAUUUCAUCAUUUGAUAAUUAUUGUUUAUUCUUAAAAUCUUAUUAAAAUUUUAUUUUAUAUUUAUUAUAAUUUAAAACUAACUUCCCCAAAAAUUUUCCUAAAAAAAUCAAAUGAAAUAUAUCACAAAUAAAUAAUAAAAAAUAAAUAAACUAAACUCUUAAAAAACAAAUUAAAAAAAUGGAGAAAAAAAUGAUACCAAAAUACCAUGACUCAACUUGGUGGUUAGAGCAGAGCUCGACUGCAGGCACGAAACUGCCUAAAAAUACUUAGGAAGUGACUUGACUGGACUUAGGUAUGGGUUGUUGAAUUUUGGGAUUAGCCAUCAGAAUAUGAGUAAUUAUGUCAAAAUUUUGUCAAAAAAAUACUAAUUUGGCUAGAAAAUUCAAUCAAUUUUUGGAAUUUUCUAGAAAUUUUGCAAAAAAUUUAUUUCUUGCGAACUUCAGCCAUUUGAAUAUGUUUGACCCACUAUCUUCCUUGAAUUAAACUCAAAACUACUCCUAAAAAAAAUUUCCACCCAAAUCAAAACACCCAACGGCUGUCAAACUCUUGCUCUCACUUUUUCCUUUAUUUUUUUUCCAAUUGCUCUCUUAUUGUUAUGCCUUUUGUUUUGUCAUUUAAAGGUCUAUUUAUAGGGUACAAUAAGUAGAAUUUCAUAUUUAUUUCAACUACAAAAAUUAGGAUUAUCAUGAAAAAAUAAAAUUUAUUUUUGAGAAGUUUAACUUUAAAUUUAAUAAUGAUAAAACUACAUUAUCACCAGUCAUUCCUUUUUAAUUUAUGACCAUUCAUUCUUUUUUUCAAUUAUCUUUUUUUAAAAUAAUAAGAUAAUUUUAAAAAAUUAGAUAAAUAUAAUGAGAUUAAAUAAAUACAAUUAAAGAUAAACAACAAAUAAGCAAGAUAAAAUAAGUAAUAAAAUAAAAUAAAAAGGAUAAAUAAAAAAAUAUAUAGAUAAAGAAAGUAAAAACACAAUUUUGACAAUUAGGCUUAGAUCAAAUCUAAGCCCAAUUGAUUUGUGUCUUUGGCCCUAAAAUUAAAUCGGACCCAAUUGAUUUAAAACCCGGACUAAAUUAGGUGACUAAAAAUAUCAGUAAAAAUAUAAGAAUAUAUAUGUUUUUGUAACUUUGUACAUUAUAAUAUAUGAAAAAAAAGUCAAAGUUAAACUAAGAGAACUUACCUAAACCAAAAUGAAAAGAAAAAAAUAAAUCCAAACCCUAAAUGGAAGAGGAAUCAAAUGAGUAAUGUUAAUUUUAUUAAGUGUGUGAAUAGAUAGAAUAGUGUUUUAGAAAUAAGUUGAAUGAAAAGCGAGUAAAGAAUCAAGCUCUAGGCCUUCUAUUAUUGAUAUAAAGAAUGAUAAUAUAUCUAAAGGUUUGGAUAACUAAAAAAUUUUUGUUUGAAUAUAUCUUAAAAAGAUUUGGAUAACCAAUAAUUUUUUAAAUACAUUUAUUUAAUCCAUAAAUACAUUUAAAUAAACUCUUACAAAAAUAAUAAUUUUAUCUAUUUAAUUUUUUUUAAUUUAAAUUGAUUUUUCAUAUACAUUUUGAUAAACUACUCUAAAGUUUUCAACUGCAGAUAAACUGAAAAAGAUAAAUUAUUUUAAAAUUGUCAACUACAAAUAAAUAGCUAAAUUUUAGAUAAUUCAAUAAUUUUUUAAAUAUAUAUUUUUUAUAAUAAUUUUAAAAAGAAAUUUAAAACUUUUCUUAUGUGUAGAAAAAUGAAACUAUCCACAUAAACAUCUAUGUCAAUAAAUUUUAUUUGAUAACCAUGUAUGUUGUAAUAUUAUAUAUAUUUGGUAAUUAAUUACUUUCUUAGUCAACUAUUGGGCUAUGAAAUAGGUGUUAAAAAAUGGAUUAGCCUUCAUUUUUCCAUCCCUGGCAUUUUGAAUUCAGCCUUAUUCAAUUUCUUUAGGGCUACGCUGAGUCCAAUGGCUCAUUAAUUGAAUUUCGAAUCAGCCCUAAUAUCCAUUUAACCAAAAUUUAUGAUUCUUAAAACUUCUGUAAGUAUGCCCACACAUUUAUUUACAAAAAUUAUCACAUUCACUUGUAGUAGUGGAGUUUUUAAACGUUAUUAUCAAGAUGGUAACAAUAAAGUGUGAUGUUGAUAGAAUAUUAAAUUUUUAAUUUUAAUGAUUAAAUUUAAAGUUUAAAUUAUGACAAUUUUAAAUAUGAAUUCUUUACAUCAUCUUAUGUUAUACAUGCACAUAUAAUAAUAAAUAUAAGGCAAGUAAUAAAAAGCUAAAAACUAUCUUAUAAAAUGUGGAAAUUAUAGAGGGGAAUUUAGGGCUGGAUAAUAGGAAGCAUUUAUAAUAGUUAAAAAAAAUGACUUAUUACCAAAUUACAAUAACAUCAUCUCAUUAUAAUAAUUUUGCAAGAAACAUUUAUGGAGAAAGAAAGAGUCAAAAUUUAUUAUUGAAAAAUGAAUUAAUUAAUAGUAGGAUAAAAAAUAAUUUAAAAGAUUACAAUUAGUAAUUUCAUAAUCAAAUGUCAUAACGUCUAGAUCCGGGGAUCUAUCGCUAGACAUUGACUUAAGAGAGUCGCCACCAAUCUUUUUAUCUAGGUGUGAUUGGCCACCUAAGGAAUCUGUCCUUUCAGGGAACACCUAAGUUUAAGGGCCCCUAAAAGAAUAUGUUCAGGUCUACUAACCAGAACAGAGUUCGAGAGUUCGGUUACGUGUGAGGAAGGUUAUAGCACCCUCACAAUGCCCAUCAAAAGAUGGUACCAACAUAAUUUUGUGUUAUCCAAUAAGCCUUAAAAUUUUAUCAAGUAAUUAAUUAUUGAAAAUUAUUCUCAAUUGACUCUAAUACUUUUAGCAAAAAAUUGAGAAAAUUCCCUCACCUCAGGAGUAUGCAAGAAAACUACUGUUUCACUUACAGAGGUUCCAUCGUCGGAUUAUUUAAAAAAAUAAAAAUCAAAAUCAAAAUAAAAAGGAAGGAAAGAAUGAUUGUUUUUGUGCAGAAAAAAUUGAUACUUUCAACUUUUCCCUAAAAAUUUUUUUUGAAACUUUAAUUUCGAGAAAAAUUGAUACUUUCAACUUUUCCUCUAAAAUUUAUUUUUUUGAAAAUUUAUAUUUAAGGAAAAUCGAUAUUUUCAACUUUUCCCCAAAAAUAUUUUUUGGAAACUUUGAUUUUCAAGGAAAAUUGAUACUUUCAACUUAUCCCCAAAAAUAUUUUUCUUUUUUUGGUUUUUAUUUAAAGAAAAUAGAAUAAUAAAAAAAAUUAAAAAAAGUAAAACAAAAAUAAAAAUAAAAUAAAGAUAAAAAGAAUAUUAAAUAAAGCUAAUCUAAUAAAUAAAAAUAAAAAAAACAAAUAAAUAAAUAAAUUCAAAAAAAACAAUUGAGCGGCUCGAAUUACGGCUUAGCUCGACUCGGUUCAAGAAAGAGAAAUGGCUCGGAGAAGUGGCUUGUGACCUCGGCUCGGCUCAGCUAUCGGCUCGGAAGGGGGGGACAAGCGCGGGUCAGGGAGCGAGUCGACGCUCGGGUCGGGUCGGAUCUCGAUAAAACGCGCCGAUCCUCUGGGUCACUUCAGGCAAAAACGGCGUCGUUUUGGAAGGGUAUAUAAGACUGUUUCCUUCGUUUUUUUGCAGAAAGCUUCUCUCUCUCUCUCUCUCUUCUUCCUUUUUCCUCUCGUUUCUCUCUAAACGAUCAAAAAACUCCGGUUGAACAUUCACCAGAUUCUGGAAUUUUUUGUCGAAAUCUGAGUUUCUAGUCGAAAGUUCAUCGAAAAGUUGGUCGGUUUCUGGGAUUCUUCGUCGAAAACUGGGCAGCUCACCAAAAACUUCAAAGUCGGCUGGAAUCGUCGUCGAAAAAUGCAACUUUCAUCGAAAAAUUCAACCAGAAUCUAGAAUUUUUCAGAAAUUCUCAGAAAAAAAAUCUCCAAAAAUCUCUAAAAAAUUUUUGCUAAUUCCCAGAACACUUCUAAACCUUUUCUUAGCCUUCAAAAAUUUUCUACACGCCCCUUUUCUCUUAAAUCAGUAGCUUUUGCUCACUGUUUUUUUCUGUGUGUCUUGCUUCUGUAUUCUGUAUCUAUUUAUAGGGAUUGAUCAGAAGAGUUUCUGAUCAAUCCCUACUCUUUUUUGGACGAAAAUUCAAUCUUUGAAUCCAAUCUGGACUCUGAUUGAAUCCCCAUUCUCAGUAGGAUUCUUCAACAGAAUUCAAUCCCAGCCUUCCAAAAUAAAAAUCAGAUAAAAAAAUUAUUAGAUAAUUAGAAAAAUAAUAAUAAGAUAAAUCAAAAAUAAUAUUAUAAGAUAAAAAAAAUAAAAAUAACAGAUAAAUAUGAGAUAAAUAAAAAUACAUAUAAAAUAAAAUGAAAAAGAGAAAGAAAAAAAAUAAAUAAAUAAAUAAAUAAAUAUAUAUAUUAAUAAAUAGUAAUAAAAAUAAAUAAUAAAUACAUAGGAUAUAAAGGAAAAUAUAUACAUAAAAUAUAAAAUAAAAAUAACAAAAAUAUAAAACAAAAUUGGGCUUACCAAUUUAGACCAGACCCAAUUGAUCCGGGCCUGGAUCAAAUUAGGUGUCUACAGCUGCCCAUCUUUGCACAUUGGGUGUCUACGUCUUUGUUUUUUUGUUUUUUGUUUUUUUUAUUUUUUGACCAAAGCUCCUCUAAGCAGAGGCUCAACGACUUUGAGAAACAUAAAUGGCUCCUCUAAUCAGAGGCUUAACGACUUUAAAAAAAAAUAAAUUGCUCCUCUAAACAGAGGCACCACGACUUUAAAAAAUAAAUUGCUCCUCUAAACAGAGGCACCACGACUUUGGGAAAGUAAAUUGCUCUUCUAAACAGAGGCACCACGACUUUGAAAAGUAAAUUGCUCCUUGACAAUCAUGUCCAAAGGAGUUGAAAGUUGUGUUUGAAGGAAUUUCAGGAGAUUAUGCCCAAAGGUCUUAUAAAUCAACCCUGAUACCAAAAGACAUCCUAUUUCAAGGAUUAGGAACUUACCUGACAAGUUUUUUCUCAAACUUGUAAAAUAUCUUCAUAUCUGUCUUCUCUAUGUGGGAUGUUGGAACACCCCUACUUCUUGAAUUUAUACACUAUACUUUUCUGAAAGCUAUGCAAUGCAUAUGAAUUUCAAUGCAUGCUAUGCAAAUGUUGGCCAAUUAAUUCCUAUUCAAUGUAUGGUACUCAAAUUUCUCAAGCUCUUUUCUUAGGCAUCAAGCCCUUUGAUUCUUCAGAGAUCCAAUUACACUGCUCUUCUAAGAUCAAGUCAAUGUAGCUCUUAAUUGUCUCUUCCACUCACAUUCUUCCUGUAAGAAAUCUUUUCCCAGAUUCAAUGUUCAAAUAAGGAAUUGAACCUUUCGAUUCUGCCUUUAUCACUCUUGACUUAUUCAAUGUAAUGUAAAAAUCUUUUCAUGUUGUUAUUCAUUCAUCAAUCAUUAUUUCAAACUCAAAAAGUAAGAAUGCAUUUGCACAUUUCUUCCAUGGUGGGGUAUUAGAAAGAAAGGAAUAUCAAUGGUUGAGAAACAGUCAUCAUAAAAAGACAUAAAGAAUGAAAUAGAAUGUCUCUUAUUAGAAAAAUGUUGGCUAAUUUCAGUCAAAAGAGAAUUACAAGGAUAGGUAUGGGGACAAAGCCCAAAAUGAACAAUCAGAUAAUCAUGAUAACACAUCUCAAAGUCUUUUCUGAAAACCCAACCCUCUGACGUAUUUAACAACUUGAAACUCUUUCGAAUUUGCUAACCUCCAUGUCAGCGAACUUUUAAAUUCGAUGCUGUAUUCUUCUUAUCUAAGCUGUCUUUUCAAGUUUUCAACUUAAACAAACCCCCUAUGACUCAAACCGUCCUUUUAGGGUUUUCACCUUGAGUCCUCUUUUUUCAUUCACUUUUUUUCAUUUUUUUUUCAUUUUUUUUCAUUUUUUUCAUUUUUUUCAUUUUUUCAUUUUUUCAAGCAUAGUAUUUCUUCACAGCAUCAGAAUUUAUAGGAUGGGGUAAAUCAUUUCCAUCCAUCUCAGUCAGUAUCAGCGCUUCACCCGAAAAAGAUCGUUUCACCACAUACGACCCUUCUCAAUUCCGAGUCCAUUUUCCUCUACUAUCGUGCUGGAUUGAGAGAAUUCUUUUCAAGAUCAACUCUCCUUCUCAAAAGCAACGGGGUCGAAUCUUCUUAUUAAGAGCCCUCAUCAUUCUUCUUUGAUACAGUUGACCAUGGCAUAGUGCAGUCAAUCUCUUUUCUUCUAUGAAAUUUAACUGCUCAUAACGUUCUCGAAUCCAUUCAGCUUCUUUCAAUUCAACUUCUUUCAGAACUUUCAAAGAGGGGAUCUCUACUUCUACUGGUAGUACAGCUUUCAUCUCAUAAACCAAAAAAAAUGAGAUUGCUCCAGUAGAGGUACGAACUGAUGUUCGAUAUACAUGUAAUGCAAAUGGUAACUUCUCAUGCCAAUCCUUGUAAGUCUCGAUCAUCUUUUCCAAAAUUCUCUUUAUGUUCUUAUUGGCUGCCUCAACUGCCUCAUUUAUUUUCGGAUGGUAUGGUAUCGAGUUAUGAUGCUUGAUCUUGUAUUGAACACAUAUUUCUUGCAUCAUCUUACUAUUUAGAUUCUUGACAUUAUCUGAAAUAAUUCUCUCCGAAAGUCCAUAUCUACAGAAAAUUUUUUUUUAUGAACUUGCAAACCACAGAACAUGUUACACUUGCAUAUGAUGUUGCCUCUAUCCAUUUUGUGAAGUAAUCUAUCAUCACAAAAAUGAAUCUAUGCCCGUUAGAAGCCUUUGGGGUGAUUGGGCUAAUGACAUCCAUGUCCUACAUUGAGAAUGGCCAUAGGGGUGCCAUAACAUGUAAAGCAGAUGGCGAAGCAUAAAUCUUAUCAACAUAUAUCUUGCAUUUAUGGCAUUUACAAGCAUAAUCAAUGCAAUCAUUCUUCAUCGUCAACCAAUAAUAUCCUGCUCUCAUGAUCUGUCUUGCCAUCAUAUGUCCACUAGUAUGUGCCCUACAUAUUCCACCAUGCACCUCUUCAAUGAUUUUUUUCGCUUCGAUCUCAUUUACACACCUUAAUAAUACUUGAUCCUUCUUCUUUUGUAUAGGACAUCCCCAUUCAGGAAAAAACUCAUAGCCAAUCUUCGAAUGACCCUUUUAUCAUUUUUUAUUGCUUGAACUGGUAUUAUCGAUCCUUAAUAUACUGUAAGAUGUCAUAAUACCAAGGCUUUCCAUCUUCUUCUCCCUCUACAUUAGAACAAUAAGUUGGUAUAUCCUUAACAUCUAACUUGAUGGGUUGAAUGUCGGUAUUAUCAUUGAUUCAAAUCAUUACAAUCAGAGUAGCCAAUACAUCAGUAAUCGAAUUCUCUUCUUGAGGUAAGUGGUCAAACUAGAUAUCUUUAAAUUGUUUCGUCAACUCUAGAAUAUACUUAUGAUAUGGAACAAGUUUUGAAUCUCUCAUCUCCUAUUCUCUUUUCAACUGAUAUAUAACUAGAGCCGAGUCUCCAAACAUUUUUAGUACCUUCACUCUUCUAUCUAUAACAGCUUGUAAACCAAUGACACAUGCCUCAUAUUCAGCGAUGUUAUUUGUGUAAUUGAAAUUUAACCUCGCUGUUACAGGAAAGUAUUGUUUUUCUGGAGAAAUCAGAAUCGCCCCAAUUCCAUGCCCCAAGGCAUUAGCAGCUCCAUCAAAGUACAUUUUUCAAUAUUUUUCUAUAUGCUCCCCUUCUUUCGGUUGGAAAAUAGUCAUUAAAUCUUCAUUAGAGAAUUUCAGCUUCAUCGACUCAUACUCUUCAGUAACACGAUCUACAAGAAAUUCUGUUAUAGCGCCUCUUUUUAUUACUUUUUGGCUCACGUAUAUAAUAUCAUAUUUCGAGAGCAUUACUUGCCAUCUAGCGAUUCUCUCAGACAAAGAAGGCUUCUCGAAGAUAUACUUAAUGGGAUUCAGUUUCGCUAUGAGCCACGUAGUAUGAUAGAGCAUAUACUGUCUGAGUCUUUUGACAGUCCACGCUACUGCACAACACAUUUUCUCUAAUGAAGAAUACUUGGAUUCAUAUUCCGUGAACUUUUUACUCAGAUAGUAAAUAGCUCUCUCCUUUCGACUAGCCUCGUCUUGCUGCCCCAACACACAUCCCAUUGAACUUUCACAUACAGUUAAGUAUAAGAUUAAAGGUUUCCCUGAAAUAGGUGGCACCAAUAUUGAGAGGUUCGAUAAAUAUUGCUUAAUUUUAUCAAAUGCCUCUUGAUAUUUUUCAUUCCAUUUUUCAGGAUUAUCUUUACGAAAAAACUUAAAUAUGGGAUCACAUUUAUAAGUAAGCUGAGAGAUGAACUGAGAAAUGUAGUUCAAUCUCCUCAAAAAACCUUGAACUUCUUUUGGUGUGCUAGGAGGUGACAGAUUUUGAAUAGCUCGUAUCUUAUCAAGAUCGACUUCAAUUCUUCUUUCACUGACCACAAAGCCUAGCAACUUCUCUGAUUUUACCCCAAAAGUGCACUUAGCUGGGUUUAAUUUGAGCUGAAAUUUUUUCAAUCUCUCAAAUAAUUUUUUGAGGCUAGUGACAUGAUCUUCAUCCUCACAAGACUUUGCAAUCAUAUCAUCUACAUACACCUCAAUCUCUUUGUGCAUCAUGUCAUGGAAGAGUGUUACCAUGGCCCUUUGAUAUGUUGCCCCAGCAUUUUUUAACCCAAAAGGCAUGACUUUGUAGUAGAAGGUUCUCCACAUGGUCACAAAAGUAGUUUUUUUCAUAUCAUUUACAGUCAUUUUUAUCUGAUUAUACCCCGAGAAACCAUCCAUAAAAGAGAAAAUUGAAUGCUUAAUCGUGUUAUUUACCAGUGUGUCAAUAUGAGGUAAAGAAAAGUUAUCCUUUGGGCUAGCUUUAUUCAAGUCCCGAUAGUCUACACACAUUCAUACUUUUCCAUCUUUCUUAUGAACUGGGACAAUAUUGGCUACCCAUUCUGGAUACUUAGCCACUUGCAGAAAACCUGCAUCAAAUUGUUUCUUCACCUCUUCUUUAAUCUUUAGUAGCAUUUCGGGCUUCAUCCGUCUCAAUUUCUGUUGAACUGGCUUACAUUCUGGCUUUAGGGGCAAUCUGUGCUCCACUAUCUCUGUGCUUAGCCCUGGCAUAUCCUGGUAAGACCAAGCAAAUAUAUCUACAAAUUCUCGAAGAAGGUCUGCCAAUCGUUGCCUAUCUCUUAAUGAAAGUGAAGUGCCCAUUCUGACCUCUUUCUUAUUCUCUUCAUCUCUCAGAUUCACUAAGUCCACUACCUCCUGAUGAGGCUCAAUUGGCUUAUUUUCUUGUUCAAUCAUCCUCAUUAGGUCUAGAGGCAUAACAUAUUCUUCAAAAUUUUCUUCAUUGUCAAGUUCAUCAGUGUUAAUUAAAUUCUCGAAGCUAACCUCUUGAUUGUUAUCAUGAUUAUCUUCAUGUUCAUUUAAAGACCUGCAAUUGAAUGAAAUGGGAUAUGUUAGCAAAAUGUGCUUGGAAAGAUGGAAAUAAUGAAGACACAAGAAGAAAUGAAUGAAAAUGCAUCCUUCUUAAUAUUUAUUAAAAAUAAUAAAUGAUGAAUGGCCCAAACAAAAAAAUCACCCCAAUGCCUUGGGCAAUAGCUAUUGAGAUGUUACAAUUACAUUGCAUCAAAAUCAAAAGUCAAAGGCAUCUCGAUGGCACUCCAAUUAUUGAGCUCAAAAUCUGGUGGACAAAGGCGAACCCACUCCUCUUGAUUAACCCCCACUUCAUCUUCAACAGCAUUAAUGGCUAACUGGGCAAAAUCAUCUUCCACACUUUUUCUUGUAUCUGGGUACAUGAAUCCUCCAGGUCUGAAAGUUUCAUAUAAGUGUGGGAUAAACAUCAGUCUUGCUGUCUUUCUUGAUGGUCUUCUUCUGACUUUUCACUCUGUUAUCUCAUAGCCUAGGCCUACCCUGUCUCUUAUUGUCGCAGGUUCUUUAAUUUCUUACAAGUUUUUGCCUAGCCCAAGUCCUGGAUACCAACCCUUAUUAAUGACUUGGCUCACCACUAUCUUUGAAAAAGGUUGAUUUUGAAAUCCUACAGAAUUAACCAAUUCAAAAGAUCGAUAGGAGCAUUCCAAUACUUCUUCGGUAGCCUCUACAUAUGGAGUGCUCAAUGGUUGUGUCACUAGCAUAUCUUCUUCCCCAACUACCACUACUAAUUGACCUUUCACAUUGAACUUGAUCUUCUGGUGUAAAGUAAAGGGCACGCUCCUGCCAUGUGAAUCCAUGGUCUUCCUAACAGACAGCUAUAGGAUGAAGAAAUAUCCAUCACUUGAAAUUUUACAUUGAAAGUGCAUGGUUUAAUUUGUAAGGGCAUAUCAAUAUCUCUCAGGACUUUUCUUCUGGUCCCAUCAAAGGCUCUCAUAAUCAUCUAACUGUCCUUCAUAUGAGAGUAAUCAAUGGGUAGCCUUGCCAAAGUUGACAUAGGCAUGACAUUGAUAGCAGAGCCAUUAUCGAUAAGAACUUUGGCUAUAAUAUGGCUCUUGCACUUGACUGUGAUAUGCAGAGCCUUGGCAUUUCCUUUUCCCUUCAAAGAAAUCUCAUCAUCACUAAAUGAAAUGUGAUUUGACAUGACUAGAUUUCCAGCCAUGUGGUUCACAUAUUCAACAAAUACGUUAUGUGCCACAUAUGCCUGAUUCAACACUUUUAGCAGGGCAUUUCGAUGUGGCUCUGAGUUCAGCAGCAAUGAUAAUAAUGAGAUUUUAGCUGGCAUUUUAUUCAACUAUUCCACAACUGAAUACUCGCUAUGUUUUACCAGUUUUAGGAAUUCACAAACCUCUCUUUCUGAUACUAGCUUUAGAUGUCUUCCUCAGGUUCUAUCUCAGGAUUAUUCCGUCUUUCUCCUUCUUUAGCUUUCUCCCUUCUAGCCUUCUCUAGCAUUUUUAGAGUGUAACAUCUCUCACUUCGAGUAAUGCCUCUUACACCAGUAAUAUUGAAAGCAUCAGCUUUGGAAACCUCUUCUUUCUGUCCCUGAACUAUAGUGUCACAGCCAUAUCUCUAGGGUACAGCUUUAUCAUCUUUGUAUGGAAAAAGAGUCGAGACUUUAAAAGUUAUCGACUUAAGGAAGAGUUUGUCUAUGACUGACUUUGGUUUGUUCUCAUACUGAAUUAUCAUUGGUUUUGGAAACAGCCUUACAGGCCUAUUAGUCAUGUGUACCUCAACAUUUUUCAAGUCUUCUUUUUCUUCAUAGACUUUCAUCUGAUGUGAAUCCAAGAGUUUUUGCACCUUCCGGUGAAACUGCUCACAGGUCUCAAUGGAAUGGCCCAUUGCCGUAUUAUGAUACUUACAACUAGUACCAACUAUAUAUGUUCCAUGAUAGCUGUGUGGACUUACCAAUUGUAUCAUGUCUACUUUUUGUAAAAUAUCAAAUAGUUGGCUGAGAGGUGUUUUAAUAUCUACCACUUCUUUCUUCACAUGGCAUUCAUGUUCUUCACCUAUAGCAUUCAUAUUAUGAUUCGAUAAAAGAUUGCCACUAACAUUCGACACAGUCAUCCCUCCAGUAUCAAAGCAAAUCAUCCUAUCAUUGAUCAACCGUUGCAUCUUGUAUUUCAGGGUAGUGAAAUUUUUGGUAGAAUGACCAACAAUCCCAUAAUAGUAGUCACAGUGGGCGGUGGGAUCAUACCACUUGAGGUAAGGUGGCUUAAGGGGUUUCAAUUUAUUUGGAGCAAUCAAAUGACUGUUGUAGAGCUCCUUAUAUAAUUUCGUAUAAGUCAUUGGAAUUGAGUCAAAAACAGGUUUCUCACGAGUGGUUUGUUGCUCCCGCGAGCCACCAAUGGGGUUAGUUGGGUGAUUUUGAGGUCUUGGGGUAGGUUGAAUGUUAGGACUGUACAUGGUAUUUUGGGGUCUAUGAGGGGUUUGAUAUGUUUGGGGGUAUGGUGAUUGUGUAAAUGGUUGGUAUGGGUAAAAAGAAGUAUUAUUUACAACGGGGUGAUAUGGCAGAUAUUCUGAUGGUAGGUAGGGUGAAUAACCUCUAAGUUGCUGUUUAUCAAAGCUCACAGCCUGAGCUUUAGUUUCUUUUUACUUCGGGACUCUUUUGUUAGAUGCUUCAUUUCCUUCUAGCUUGCCAUUCUUGAUGGCACUCUCAAUGAUUUUUCCUGAGAUUACCAUAUCAACAAAAUUUUUCGUUGCAUUCCUAUCAUCUUUUCAUAAUAUAAAGGUUUUAAAGUGCUAACAAACAGCACUUUAGUUUCUUUUUCGGUCAGAAGAGGUUGUACCUGAGAAGUAACAUCCCUCCACCAUUGGACAUACUCUUUAAAAGACUCGUUUACCUUUUUUUCCAAAUUCUGUAAAGACAAACGAUCAAGGGCCAAAUCGAUAAUAUUCGAUAUUGAUCGAUGAAAUCAUGUGUCAUAUCGUUCCAAGAGUGAAUGCGAGUUCUAUCCAACUGAACAUACCAUCUGGUCGCAAAGCCAGUAAGACUGUCCUGAAAAACAUGCAUCAAGAGUUUUUCAUCAUGAGCAUGAACUGCCAUCUUCAUGCAAUACAUGGUGAUGUGGGUUUUGGGGCACUUUGUACCGUCAUAUUUUUUAAAUUUUGGUACUUUGAACUUAUAGGGGAUAACCACAUCAGGAACUAGGCAGAGCCCAAUAGCAUCAACUAACCCAUAACAGCUAAAUCCUUCCACAGCCCGUAGCCUUUGCUCUAACAUGCUAAUCUUGGAGCUUUCCUAAACUUCCACUCUUAUCUUUUCUUUCUCCUUCUUUUUUAAAUCAUCUAGAUCAAGAAUUGGUUCUGCUAUCUUUUCAGUGAAGACAGGAUUUACAUAGCUAUUAUACUGCCCUGGGAUGGAAGCUAAUGGUAUUCCAGGAUAUGUUGGAUAUGCGAAGUGUUAUGACGAAACCUCUUGAGCAGACUGGACUUGAGGUGGAUCAAAAUCUGAAGGGUACAAAGGGUCAGCCACUUCUUGUAAUGGGGGAACUUGCUGGCUUGUAUUUUUUUCAACUCCUUUUCCUUUAUUCAUGUUAUUAAGAGCCUCCAGAAUUUUGCUUAGCUCACUUUCAAUCUUCUCCUGUGCUUUUUCUAUCUUUUCAAAUCUAUGGGAAUUUUUUUGCUCCAUUUGUCUUGCUCUGGAUCUUGUGUUGUAUCGAUGGGUAGGAUUCUCGCUAGAUGGAGCUAUCUUGGAACCUUGAGUACCAUAUCUUAGAAUUAGUAAAUUUGUAUGAUUAUCAUAUGGUUACUUUGUUAAGUGUAAUGAAUGAAAAUGCAAUGAAUGAAAAAUGCAAGUAUGCAAAGAACAUUUACCUUAGAAACGGUAUUCAACUAAAAAAUUUCAUUUAUUCUAAAAAACUUUGAUCUACAUUGAGUUUAUCAUCCUAGAAUUAUAGCCAUAAAAUUGUUUGAUCUGUUCAUACUGGGCCUUGGCUUCUUCUAUGAAGUUCAAGAGACGCUGUCCAUGUUCUCAUACUGGGGCCACCACUUGUCUUAAUGCCUCUGCCUUUUCCACUAUCUCUCUUGCCUUACAUACCCCUUUAUGGAUUUGGGUUGUUAAGUGCUCAAUGUAUUUCUGCCUUCCUAAAUUCUCUUUUUUACCACACCAGACUUGGUAUGAUAAUUCUCUAUGUUCUCUAACCAAUGCAGCAAUGUGGUCCUCUUGUUCAUCCAACUUUUGACUUAGCCUGCUUAAAUAACUAUUUAGCAUGUUAAUUUCUGCCUGUGCUUCGGUACUUUCUUCUUCCAAUUCGGCAUACUCUUGCUUCAAUCUUGUAUUUUCCUCAGUCAGCUCGACAAUAGUUAUCUCUUUGGCUCUUUCUCUCACACAUAACCUUUUAUGCUCCUGGUGUAACUUUGCUAGAUCUUCAAUAGCUGUAUCACGUUCUCUAGCAAUCUUAUGAACUUUAACUUCAUAACUUUUGGCUCUACCUUUCCACUGGCUUUUUCUUCUUGAAGCUUAUGAAUCUCUUGCUUUAACUUGCUCUUUUCAGACUCAAAUUUUUUUGUUACCAGCUCUAACUCUGAUGGUGUCUCUUCAAGUUUUUCUUCUGUUGGUGGUUGAGAGAUUUCAUAAGUGAAUACCAUUUCUUGUCUUCUCUUUGUUCUCCAAACCAAGUACUUUGGGGUGACUUUUUCAGUGAACAGUCUAGGAGUCACUCUUCAGAGAUUUUUCCAUGCUUUAAUCAUCUCAUUCAUCCUUUGAAAUGCUUUAGGCUCACUGUAAAAGAAAUCUAACUGAUGAAGCCCGUAAGUCAUAGAAAUAAACUGUUCUCUCCCAAAUUGCCUUCUCACUAGGAGUGGUGCAUAAUUCGUCACUCCCCAUAAACCCAGAAGUGGAACCACUAUACUAUCCCCACAUUGAUACAACAUAGGCUCAUGAUUCAUCCAUGGGGCCAACCAUCUCACCCUGGCAUUUUCCAACUUUUGUAAGAAAGUUAUCCAUUCUUGUUUAGACUUCCGUUUUGACCACCCACUUUCGUAGAAUUCAUUGAUUAAAAAACGAUUACGGAUAUAAAGCUUCGAGAAAGCACCAUUUCCUUGUUCAAAAUGGCUUUUCAUCCACAAGUACAAUAACUAUAUGCAUCAUAUGAAGCACCUUCUAUUCCGAUGAUAAUAACUCAAAGAUCUUAUAGUCUCUGAUAAUAUUACCGUUGAAGGAUUACAGCCAUUGAUCACACUUUCAAAAAAAUCAACCAUCGCUAUCUCAAUAUACCCCAAAAUCUUUGGAAAGAUUACCAGUCCGUAUAUAGCCAAAGCAAAUAUGUCUAACCCUCGUUCUUCAUUGGUAUGUUACAUCAGAAACUCAUGAAAGAACUUUCAAGGUAGGCAAACCUAUUCUUGUUUCUUUUUUGUAUGAGAAUCCAUAAUUUCUUUGUCUAUCCCCAUGAGUUGAGCCAGACUUUUACGAAAUCUUGACUUAUGUUUUUUGACAUAUAUCUUGUCAGGAGUCUUGAGGUGUAGACCCAACAAAAUUGAGUAUUCUUUAAUCGUAGGAGUCAUAUUAGCUUCAUUAAAGAUGAAACACUUGUAUGCAGGAUCCCAGAAUUAUGUUGCAGCUCUAAUUAGUUGAUCAUUAACAACCACUGCUAGAAAGUGUGCUAUAUGCCCAUGUUUCUGACAAAACUGCUCUUGUCUUGACGGACUCAUCUUCUUUCAGAUAUCAACCAAAUCUUUUAAAUUGUUCUGUUUGAAGAGGAUAGAUGUUUCUUGAGAUAGAGUAGAAUCAUGCCCAAUUGGCAAGCAAUCUCCCAUCUUCAGUUGAGUCUUUUCUGACUGAGCCCUUACUUCAUUGGGUAUCCUACAGGGUGCUAAUACUGAUGAAGAACAAACUAAGCGUUCAUUGACGUCCAUGAAAAAAAUUUGUUGAAGAUCAUUUUUCAAGCAAAUGUUCUUUAUGCAACUUUAUGAUAUGCGUAUAAACUAAUGCAAAAGAAUAAGAAAAAGGUUAGUAUACCCAGAAAAAGAAUAAAAAACUAAGUAAAUUUAAACAUCACACAAAGUAAAAGGGAUGAAUCCUAUGCUUUUGGUCAAUUCUAAAAAGGAAGAGUGAUAGCUCUAUCUAUAGGUUAGGCGCUCUUAAAGUUCAUUAUAUGCGGUUUUAGGGUCAAAGUCUAAAGGUCCUCAAAUUGUUCCUUACAUCCUUGUCCAUCACAGACUAGUAAGGUACCCUAAUCCUCACCCAUUACAUGUUACAAACGAAAAAGGUUCAAUUUGAGUGGGAGUAUUUCGCUAGCCACUGCGGAGGCAUUAGACCUCACGAAAGUAAUAGGUACUUUAUUCCCUCCUAGAGGGACGGAGCUCGGGUGUAGAGCUCAUGUUAUGCACAUACAUAUGAAUGACAUAAUUAACAAGGUAAAUAAACAUGAAUGAAUAAUAACACAUAUAUACAAAUAGGUUCAAUUUUAUUAGGCUUUUGAUAACACAAAUUAUUUGCUGGCCUGACUCUCAAAUUCUCCAGUGGAGUCGUCAAGCUGUCAUAACGUCUAGAUCCAGAGAUCUAUCGUUAGACAUUGACUUAAAGGAGCCGCCACCAAUCUUUUUAUCUAGGUGCGAUUGGCCACCUAAGGAAUCUGUCCUUUCAGGGAACACCUAAGUUUAAGGGCCCCUAAAAGAAUAGGUUCAGGUCUACUAACCAAAACAGAGUUCGAGAGUUCGGUUACAUGUAAGGAAAGUUAUAACACCCUCACAACGCCUAUCAAAAGAUGGUACCAGCAUAAUUUUGUGUUAUCCAAUAAGCCUUAAAAUUUUAUCAAGUAAUUAAUUAUUAAAAAUUAUUCUCAAUUGACUCUAAUACUUUUAGCAAAAAAUUGAAAAAACUCCCUCACCUCAGGAGUAUGCAAUAAAACUAUUGUUUCACUUGCAGAGGUUCUAUUGUCGGAUUAUUUAAAAAAAUCAAAAUCAAAAUCAAAAUAAAAAAGAAGGAAAGAAUGAUUGUUUUUGUGCAGAAAAAAUUGAUACUUUCAACUUUUCCCUAAAAAUUUUUUUUGAAACUUUAAUUUCGAGGAAAAUUGAUACUUUCAACUUUUCCUCAAAAAUUUAUUUUUUUGAAAAUUUAUUUUUAAGGAAAAUCGAUACUUUCAACUUUUCCCCAAAAAUAUUUUUUGGAAACUUUGAUUUUCAAGGAAAAUUAAUACUUUCAACUUUUCCUCAAAAAACCUUUUUUUGAAAAUUUAUUUUUAAGAAAAAUUGAUACUUUCAACUUUUUCCCAAAAAUAUUCUUUGAAAACUUUGAUUUUCAAGGAAAAUUGAUACUUUCAACUUUUCCCAAAAAAUCUUUUUUGAAAAUUUAUUUUUAAGAAAAAAUUGAUACUUUCAACUUUUCCCCAAAAAUAUUUUUCUUUUUUUGGUUUUUAUUUAAAGAAAAUAGAAUAAUAAAACAAAAUAAAAUAAAGAAAAGUAAAACAAAAAUAAAAAUAAAAUAAAGAUAAAAAGAAUAUUAAAUAAACCUAAUAUAAUAAAUAAAAAUAAAAUAAACAAAUAAACAAAUAAAUAAAUAAAUUCAAAAAAAAAAACCUGGAACAGCUCGAAGUACGGCUCGGCUCAACUCAGCUCAAGGAAGAGAAAUGGCUCGGAGAAGCGGCUUGGGACCUUGGUUCGGCUCAGCUAUCGGCUCGAAAGCAGGGGACACGCGCGGGUGAGAGAGCGGGUCAACGCUCGGGGUUGGGUCGAAUCUCGGUAAAACGCGCGGAUUCUUUGGGUCACUUAAGGUAAAAACGACAUCGUUUUGGAAGGGUAUAUAAGGUUGUUUCUUUCGUUUUUAGACAGAAAGCUUCUUCUUUUUCUCUCUCUUCUUUUUUUUUUCCUCUCGCUUCUCUCUAAACGAUCGAAAAACUCCGGUUGAACAUUCAUCGGAUUCUGGAAUUUUUCAUCGAAAUCUGGGUUUUUCGCUGGAAGUUUAUCGGAAAGUUAGUCGGUUUCUGGGAUCUUUCGUCGAAAACUGGGCAGCUCGUCAGAAACUUCAAAGUUGGCCGGAAUUGUCGUCGGAAAAUGCAACUUUCGUGGAGAAAAUUCAACCGAAAUAUGAAAUUUUUCAGAAAUUCCCAGAAAAAAAAUCUCCAAAAAAUUUUUGCUAAUUCCCAGAAUACUUCUAAACCUUUUCUUAGCUUUCAAAAAUUUUCUACACGCCCCUUUUCUCUCAAAUCAGUAGCUUUUCCUCACUGUUUUUUUUUUUUGUGUGUCUUGCUUCUGUAUUCUGUAUCUAUUUAUAAGGAUUGAUCAGAAGAGUUUCUGAUCAAUCCCUAUUCCUUUUUGGACCGGGAUUUAAUCUUUGAAUCCAAUCUGGACUCUGAUUGAAUCCCCAUUCUCAGUAGGAUUCUUCAACAGAAUUCAAUCACAGCCUUCCAAAAUAAAAAUCAAAUAAAAAAAUAUUAGAUAAUUAGAAAAAUAAUAAUAAUAAGAUAAAUCAACAAUAAUAUUAUAUAAGAUAAAUAAAAAAAUAAAAAUAACAGAUAAAUAUGAGAUAAAUAAAAAUACAUAUAAAAUAAAAUGAAAAAGAGAAAGAAAGAAAAUAAAUAAAUAAAUAAAUAUAUAUAUAUAUAUAUAUUAAUAAAUAGUAAUAAUAAAUAAAUAAUAAAUACAUAGGAUAUAAAGGAAAAUAUAUACAUAAAAUAUAAAAUAAAUAUAACAAAAAUAUAAAAUAAAAUUGGGCUUACCAAUUUGGAUCAGACCAAUUGAUCCGGAUCUGGAUCAAAUUGAGUGUCUACAUCAAAUAAAUGAUUUUUUUAAAUUAAUAUAAAACUAUGUUUUCUAAACCAAAGCGAUGCACAAAUGACACCACAAAUUAAUCUUUCAUAAUCAUAUAUGCCUCACAAAUAUUUUAAUAAAAUUACAAAAAAUUUUAACCAUUACCAGAAAUAAAAUUCAAAUAUAUAUAAUUUUGUUAAACAAGGUAUUUCAAUUUUUGACAUUUCAAAUUAUCUUCAUAAAUUAAAUCCCACUUGAAAUCCUGCAACUAAUUAAUACACUUUGAUAUUUUAAUUCUCAUCAGAAUGUAACUUUUCUUUGCCUACUAAGACCGAUAUCAAUUUCUUUGUCAUACAACUUCAAUUUUAUCAAAACUAUUUCCUUUUAUACUCAUUUAUAUGUAUACAUAUACACAUAUAUGCAUGCAAAGAGCUACGUGUAAAUGUGUGUACAAAUAAAUAAAUUAAACAUUUAAAUUAAGGUCAUAUAUAUAUAUAUAUAUAUGUUGUCAGUUUUCCUUUCGAAUAGAUUUACUUUUAAGUUUCCUCAAACUUUUUGUCCAUGUUUUUAAGUAAUAAAAAUAUAACUCUAUAAUUUAUAAUAAUACGGCCAACAUGUUUACGGCACUUGAUACUAGGGCGGCACUAGAGAAGGCAGGCAGGGGCCACAGCCCCCUCAAAAUUUUUUAUCUCUGUUGUUAUACAAUACUCGGUUUCAUAUAUUUACUAUUUUGAUCCCUUCUUUCCUUUCAAAAUUAUUGUUUGGUCCCUCCUUUUUCAAUUUUCUACUUUCACCUCUGUUUUAUACACACAAUAUAACUUGCAAGUAUGCAAAAUUACACACAAAAUUACAUGCAAAACAGGGGAUUUUAUUUUAUGUUUAUUUUAUCAUGUUUUUGAGACAAUAUGAAAGAAAAGACCCAAAGCUAUAUAUUUAAAUUUCAUCAGUCAUAAGCAUCCCCAUAAAUAAGGUGAAAGUUGAUCCAUCGACACUCAAAUGGAACCGCUGAAGCCUUUGUUGUAAGCAUAUUCAACAAGGGAAUCCAACUCAUCAUUGGUGCAGUCGAUCAAAUUGUCUUUAUUUUUAUCAGCAACGUCCAUGGCCUCUUCAACUUGCUUGUUUGGCGUGAGUGCACCUAGAUGUUCAAAAGCAUCCUUGAGCUGGUCCUUGGUGAGGCUACCCUGCUUAGAGUAAGAUCGAAACACCUGUUCCAACUUGUUUUUGUAGCUUUUUACAUUGUAAUAUAUGAAAAAAGAAGUUAGUUAAACUAAGAGAGCUUAUCUAAACCAAAUUAAAAUGAAGAAAAUAAAUCCAAACCCUAAAUGAAAAGAGGUAUCAAAAGAAUAAUGCUAAUUUUAUUAAGUCUACGAGGAAAUGGAAUAGUAUUUGGGAAAAAAGUUGAAUGGGAUGCUAGUAAAGAAUCAAACUCUAGGCCUUCUAUUAUUGAUAUAUAAAAUGAUAAUAUAUCUUGGAUAAUUAAAAACUUUUCAUUUGAAUAUAUCUUAAAAAGAUUUGGAUAACCAAUAAUUUUUUAAAUACAUUUAUUUAAUCCAUAAAUACAUUCAAAUAAAAUCCUACAAAAAUAAUAAUUUUAUCUAUUUAUUUUUUAAUUUAAAUUGAUUUUUCAUUUAAAUUUUGAUAAAUUACUUUAUAGAUUUCAACUGCAAAUAAACUAAAAAAGAUAAAUUAUCUUAAAAUUUUCAACUACAGAUAAAUCGUAAAAUUUUAGAUAAUUCAAUAAUUUUUGAAAUACAUUUUUUUAUAAGUAAUUUAAAAUUAGUAAAUAUCUUAUGUGUCAUUAUAAAAAAAAAUUUAGAAAUUUUUUUAUGUGUCGAAAAAUGAAACUAUCCACAUAAAUGUCUACCUUAGUAAAUUCUAUCUGAUAACUAUGUAUAUUAUAAUAUAAUAUAAUAUGAUCAUGUUUGGUACUUAAAAUUAUGAUAUGAUAGGAUAAGAUAAUAUUAUGAAUAGUAUUAAAUUAAAUAAUGUUACCUUAUUUUAUGUUUGAUGUAUGCAAAGAUUAAGAUAAGAUAAUUUAUUUAUUUGUCAAAAUUAUAUUUUUUUAAAAUUUAUACAAUUUUAAAUUAUUAAUAUAAUUUUUAAGAGCAUAAUUAGAUUUGUAAGUUUAAUCCUAUAAAUUAAAAAUAAUACUCUCCAUUUGAAAAAGAUUGAAUAAUUCUAUACCAAAAGAAUAUUAAUCAUCCUUGUAAUUCUUAUCACUCUCUUUAGAUAUAAAUUAGACAUGAUAUAAAAUGAUUAUCAUCAUAUCCUAUCAGUAAUCAUACGCAUCAAAUAUGACCUAUAUAUAAUAGUAAUUAAUUACUUUCCUAAUCAACUAUUGGGCCGUGAAACAAGUGCUAAAAAAUUGAUAAGCCUUAAUUUUUCAAUCCAUGGCAUUUUGUAUUCAACGCUGUUGGAUUUCUUUGGGGCUGGGCUGAGUCCAAUAGCCAAUAAUUGAGUUCAUAAUUGGGCCUAAAAUCCAUUUAACCAAAAUUUAUGAUUCUUAAAACUUAUGUAAGUAUGCCCCUAUAUUUAUAUUACAAAAAUUAUCAUAUUCACUGCUUGUAGUAGAGUUUCUAAAUUUUAUCAUCAAGAUGGUAAUAGUAGUGUGAGAUAUUGAUAGAAUAUUAAAAUUUUUAUUUUAAUAAUUAAAGCUUAAAUUAUGACAAUUUUAAAUAUGAAUUCUUUACAUCAUCUUACAUUAUACAUGCAUAUAUAAUAAUACAUAUAAAGCAAGUAGUAAAAAGCUAAAAACAAUCUUAUAAAAUGUGGAAAUUAUAGAGGGAAAUUGGGGGCUAGAUACUAGGAAAGCUCUAUAAUAGUUAAAAAAAAAAAAAGACUUAUUACCAAAUUACAAUAACACCAUCUCAUUAUAAUAAUUUUGCAAGAAACAUUUAUGAGGUACGAAAGGGUCAAAAUUUAUUAUUGAAAAAUGAAUUAAUUAAUAGUAGGAUAGAAAAAUAAUUUAAAAGAUUACAAUUAGUAAUUUCAUGAUCAAAUAAAUGAUUUUUUAAAAUUAAUGUAAAAAUCUGUUUUCUAAACCAAAACAAUGCACAAAUGACACUAGAAAUUAAUCUUUCAUAAUCAUAUAUGCCUCAAAUAUUUUAAUAAAAUUACAAAAAAAUUUAACUAUUUUUGAAAAUAAAAUUCAGAUAUAUAUAAUUUUGCUAAAUAAGGUAUUUCAACUUUUGAUAUUUGAAGUUACCUUUAUAAAUAAAAUCUCACUUGAAAUCCUAUAACUAAUUAACAGACUUUAAUAUUCUAAUUCUCAUCAAAGUGUAACUUUUCUUUACCUACUAAGACUGACAUUGUUCUUACUUCAAUAUUAUCAAAACCAUUUUCUUUUACACAAAUAUAAAUAUAUAUAUAUAUAUAUAUAUAAGUGCAAAUGCAUAUGCCGUGUGUAAAUUUUUUUAAAAAAAUUAAGUAUUUAAAUUAGAUUCAUAUAUAUAUAUAUAUAUAUAUUGUCUGCUUUCUUCUCAAAUAGGUUUACUUUUAAGUUUCCUCAAACUUUUUGUCUAUGUUUUUAAGUAAUAAAAAUACUACACUAUAAUUUAUAAUAAUACAAACAACAUGUUUAUGGUACUUGAUAAAAGGGCGGCGCUACAGGGGGCAGGCAAAGGCCAAAGCCCCCUCAAAAUUUUUUACCUCCAAUGUUAUAUAAUGAUCAGCCUCUUCUAAUUACCAUUUUGAUCCAUUCUUUCCUUUUAAAAUUAUUGUUUGGUCCAUCCAUUAUCAAAUUUCUACCUUCGCCUCUGCUUUAUACACACAAUAUAACUUGCAAGUAUGCAAAAUUACACACAGAAUUACAAAAAAACAGGGGAUUUUAUUUUAUUUUUAUUUUAUCAUGUUUUUGAGACAACAUGAAAGAAAAAGACCCAAAGCAUCAGUCAUAAGCAUCCCCAUACUUAAGCUAAAAGUUGAUCUAUGGGCUCUCAAACGGAACCGCUGAAGCCUUUAUUGUAAGCAUAUUCAAUAAGGGAAUCCAACUCAUCAUUGGUGCAGUCGAUCAAAUUGUCCUUGUUUUUAUCAGCAACGUCCAUGGCCUCUUCAACUUGCUUGUUCGGCGUGGGUGCACCUAGAUGUUCAAAAGCAUCCUUAAGCUGGUCCCUGGUGAGGCUGCCCUGCUUAGAGUAAGAUCGAAACACUUGUUCCAAUUUGUUUUUCUGAUCCUUGUUAUCCUUCGUGGCUUGCAUUGUGGAUUUUGAGGUUUAUGACAGGGUGAUAUUAGAGAGAAGGCUUGCCUAGCUUGGUUUGGUUUUCUUUUCCAAUGCAAUUUGUUUAUAUAGACCCAAAACUCUGAGUACGAUUCUGUUGAAGUAUAGGGGAAUAAAACAUUU